rnacentral:lncRNA from 1 species
CAGGCAUUGCUUUUGGUGCGGUGGGACCUACGAACAGUUUUGUGCGAAAACCGUGAGUAUUAUAAUAACGUGUGAUUUAUGUUAUAUGUAUAAAUUUUUGAAUGUAUUACAAAACAUCAUAAUAAAAACUGCAUCUAUCGAAAUUAAAUCUAUACAAUUAUUUGAAAAAUGUCUACUAUCGGGCAUAAUAACAUGCCGAAUAUUUUCAAAAUGUUCUUCUUGCCUAUUCGCGUUGUUCGAAUAAAUUGCGAUGGUCGACUGACCAUCGCAAUUUACUUCUACAGUGACCUAGUCGCAUAUUUCUCGAAUUAUCAUGAUAGGUUGUUUCAAACAAUUGUUACACAAUUCUAUAUUAAUUUUUUAAUAUUUGUUUCGUGAUUUUCCGGAAUUAUUUUUCAAACCACCGAGGUUUUAAAACUUUUGACAUAAAUAAAUAUAUUAUAAUGAUAUGCUUAUUACAAAGAUAAUAAUAUUAUCGUCUAUAUUCAAUUUGUAAUCAAUAGGAGGAAUAAGGAAAGGCGGCUAUGUGUGAAAAGUACAUUGAACUAUUAUAAAUGAUUCAAAAAGUGUUUUCCAGAAUGUAAAAAAAAAAAACAAAUCCUUGUUAAACUCUAGUUGCUUCCUUAUUACCGUUCGGUAUCUAUUCGGUUUACUUAUAAUUUAUAAAUAAUUGAAUCCAAAUACAAAAUUUUAAUUAAAAAUAUUAAUGUAGUUUUCAAUAUUAUUUUGCAUAAAAAUAUUGCAUAAUAUUUUAAUCACAAAACUUCUAAAAUAAUAUUGUUGUUAUUCUUCAACUAUAUAUUUCGGGUAAGUAAAAUAUUUCAUUGUAUCUUAAUGUAUUGUAUUUGAUGAACGAAAACUUAAAUAUUGUUUGGAUGACUAAAAAAUAAACAAAAAUUUAAGAACGAUACAACUCUAAUAAAGAAAAUGCAUUCAAGUGGAAAGUAUAAUGAUAAAUACACAAUAAGUAAUAACAGUUUAUGUGUAAAAAAAAAAAAAAUAAAUACAAAUUUUCAAAAAAAGCCAUUCAAUAUCAUAUUCCAGUUUAGAAAAUUAAAAAUCUGGCAACCAUCUCCAACUAUAAAAGCAAUUUUGGAGUGGAAGGCCAGUCUUGGAUUCUCUUUUCCAAAUUAGUCACUUCUUGUUUUUCCAAAUUCUCUCUCCUAACCAAUCUAUUCAUAGCAAUCUUGGUCUAUCAAUAAUCUUGUUGAUUUGUUUUUUUCUCGUUUUUACAAUUACACCGAAUCGUUGAUGCUCUGGUAGUUUUUUAGCUGUCACGUGACUAUUGUUCUCAUGUUUGAUAAAUGUUGACAUUUUCUACAAUGGAACAUGAUUUGACCUGUAUGUGAAAGGCAACAUUUUACUUAAACAUAUUUAUUUGUAGGGGUAGUCAAUGCGGCUGAUCUGCUUUAAUAUCAUUCAAUAAAAUCGGAAGAAAAUGUACUAUAACUAUAAGUUCUUCGAGACGGAAAUUUUUUGGUUUCAUUAUUUAUCGCUCGACUCAAGACUGUGAUAUAAAUGCAGUGUUUGGUAUUGGUUUUCGUGCAUUAUUAUUAUUUUGACUCGAGGAGGAGGGGUAGGAAGGAAGUCAUAAAAAACUGUUCGCCAGCAUAGCAGUGUUAUAUACGUUUGCGUAACAACAAUAUUAACACGGCGCAACUCAUGCAUUCUAUCCUACAGUAAUACUACGGGUUAAAACUUCUUAAGUCCGAAACGCGUUCUGAAGAGAGCAAAGACCAAAACAAGAUUAUUUAUGUUUUUCUUUUUAAUGGUCUUGGUAUCGGUUGUCUCACGUAUCUAUGUAUGUACAUUGUAUUAUGCGAUUUCUGGCACAUUUUACUCUCACCGUACUAAAUAAAUAUUGCAUCAAAUAGAAACGUUUGUUAUUGGUAUACUUAAUAUAUUGUAAUUUUUUACGAGCGAUGGUUAACUUAAAUAUUUCUCUAAAAACAUUAACUUAAACGCAUACAGUACGAAUAAUAAUAAUAAAUUAUAAACGUUCGUUUAUGAUCACGUGCUCUCCAAUAUUCGCGAUUGUUUUAUGCAUAGAUAAUUACACACCUAGAUUCUAGAAGGAACAUUACUACUGAGAACCCUGGGUUUCAUGGACACGCCGAACGUAUCAAGGGUAACAGACUAAUGUAUAACUGAGGUGUAAGAGUAAACAACUUUGGUCUCGAGGAUAGCUAAUUUAACACAAUCCGUGUUUUUCUCAUUUAAUCAUCGUAAAGAAUGCUCCGUCUAGAUGUAUAAAGACACCUAUUAUAGUAUACAUAAUUAGGAUUCUAAAUUCCUUAUUUUUUUUUUCGGAAAUAUUUUAUGAAAUGUUCCAUUUUAAUGAAAGAAAAAAUGAAUAUAAUUAAUUUUUCGAUUAAUAAGUAUCAUUAUAAAGUAUCAUUAGUAUCUCCAGCAGACAUUUAUUUAGGGGAAUAUUACAGAUACGGUAAUUAUGUAUUAUUUACUGUGUAUACGGAAAUAAUAAUAUUUAAUUUAAAAAAUGCUGAUAUGUCAAAAAAAAAAAAAACCUAAUCACACUUCGCCAAUUGACGGGUCACUGUUGUAGAUGAAAAGUUAAAAAGGUAGGAUGUAGAGGGGAAUUUAUCUAUAAGCAAAGAUUAAUCAUUGCUAACGGAAAAUGAUUUUUAGAGAAUCUCGGUUAAUAGUAUUGCUUUUUCCACAAUAUAAUAUAAUAUGUCUUAAAAUACUAAAAUUAAUACAAUAUAUUGAAUUUAAUGAAUACACAGUAAAUACAUAUUGCUUCGUGUAGGUGGUAAAAAUAUUUUCCUAUUAUACAAUUUCAUAUUUUUAGUUAAUCUAUAUAAUAGUCACUAUUAUAUAGAUUAAUAGUUAGUUUAUUAUUUUCGUUAAAUUUCCCGUUUUUCCGACAUUUUAUCCCGGGUUUUUCCAAUUAUUAUAAAAACUAUUUGGAAAAUCAAAAAAAAUACCUUCCUAAAGUACCAUGUUGAUACAAUUUUGUUCUAGACAAGGUGCUGUACAUCGGAGCAAAAUUUCUGGUAGAGAAGUUUGCACAACAAAUCGAGAGGCUUUUUUCAAUUAAAAUAGUCCGAACGAAAGACUGUUUGGGUCUCUAGGUACACCCAAAAUACAUUUAUUUUUUUCCUGUUACCUACCCAACGUGGUUUUUCAAAAAAAAAAUUUGAAACUUGGGUUUGAACUUGUGAUCUCCGGGAUAACAGGUACAUACCAACACUAGACUAAAACAGACGUACUAUAAAAUUGACAAUAUUGAGUUUUUCAACAUAACAAAUAUAAUAUUCGCAUAAUAUCAGAACUUCAAAAAGCUAUAAUUUCAAAACUAAGUCAGUCUGACUUCACCAUCGUUCUAAAAUCGGCAAUGUAUAUAAAAUGUUCAGAACAAAACAAAUUGAAAAAUUUGCACGGAUCAGUAACUAAUUUAUUUCCACAUCAUGUUUUCUUUAAAUGGUUUUCAUAAAAAUUUGAUAUUAAAAUGCCUUUAUAAAAAAAUGCUAUAAUAUUAAGCUCGAUUUAUUUAUUUUUUGACCACAAAGUACGACUAUUAAUGAACCUUUUGUUAAAUUUUCAAACAUAUCUGUUUGUCUGUCAAUUUUUUGUCUAACAAUUUUACCGUAGAGUACUUACCGAAUAAAAUUCACGUAUAAAAUUCGUAAAAUUAUAACGUCUAUAAAUAACUAAAAAAAGGCUAAAAUUUUUUGAAAAUUUUACCAUGUCUAGAAAAGACAAAAAUAAUUUUUCUGUCUAAAUUUCAUGUUCAUAUAGUUUAUAAGAAUAUUUUUAACUGGAUUUGAACAAAAAUUUAAAUUUUCAUAAAUAGCACCAAGCAAAUUUAUAUUUGUAUAUAUAAUUAUAAGUAUAAUUUAUCGUAGGGGUGUAGAAUAUUUAGAUAAAAUAUUUAUUUUUUAAACAAAAAUUAUUAUUUUUCAGUAUUCAAAUAAACGUAUUUAUUCUGAUUUCGUAAAAAUAUUUUUAUCAAAUGUAUUAAAAAUACAUAGUAUUGAUAGUAUCGAAAUACCUUUAUGAUCGAUACUUUUGCACUUAAAGUGAUUACAUAAACUACAUUUAAUUAAUUAAUUUUCUCAUAAAAUCGAAAUUAAUAAUAUUCUAAAGAAUAAAAUAAUCUACAAAGAUAUUAUUAUAACGAAUUUUUUUGUCCUUGUCGUUAAUAUAAUAAAUAAAGUAAAAUCGUGAUUGUAUUAGCUAUCGAUAUAAAGGCGAACGGCUACAUGCCAACGGGUGUUGAUAUAAUCAUUUUUCUUAUUUAUUUUAAAAUAUAAUCCCUACAAUGUAAAAAAAAAAACACGUAAUAUAAUUACAUUUAAAAUCUAAUUUUUUUUCGGAUUUAUUUUAAAACUUUAGAUUAAAAAAAAAUAUAUACAUCGAAAAACAACGUAACGUAAAUAACCAUAAUUUUAAAUAAUAUUAGUUUCGAGAAACUUUUCUUUGAAUUUGAUAUACACAUACCUAAUUAUUUUGUUGCACACGUACUUAGGUUAGGUAUAAUAGGAUAUUUCAACCCAAUUUUGUAAAUAUUAGACUAUUUUUUCGAGCAUAAUAAUCUAAUGAUAAGUACACAGGAAAAAUGUUAUAUGAAUCUACUAUAUUUGAACAUUAUAAUUGUUGUAUUAAAAAAACGGACAUUAAAUCUUUUGAAACUUAAUCAUUAAUCAUAUCUUCAUAAUAGAUAAAAACCUCAAAAUUCCCUAUAUUUAUACUAAUUCCACCUUCCCCAAAUUUACGAAGACCAAAAUGCACCAGUUCCUCUCAAUAUGUUAUAUGUACCAUACCUUAGAUAAAAAAUUCGCAGCAUUAAUAUUAAAGAAAUAUUAACAACUUUUCUGAAAAGGAAUUGAUGUAGGGAGGUACCUUAAAGAGAUUAUUUUUUGAUUUUCUACAGACUUUUGUCAUCAAAUGUGAAAAACCAAAACAAACCCGGGAAAAUGUACGAAAUAUAUUUGUAUAAUAUUACAACUUUUUUCGCCUGUGGAGAACUUUUCUACCAGUAAUUUUGCGCCAACUUUUAAUGGUAGCAAUAUUUCUAAAAGGAAAUAUUGCUUAGUUUAGACGUACUUUAGAAAGGUCGUUUUUUGAUUUUCUCUGGAGUUUUCUCAUCAAAUUUGAAAAACAGGGAUAAAACAUAGGAAAAAUGGGAAAAUCGCUACAACAUCAAACAAAUAUUAUUAAAGAAAAUAUUUAAAGUCUAUUUAAUUAUUUUACUUUAUUGAUAUAUAUAUAUAUAUAUAUAUAUAUAUAUUGUUAAAAAAGCAUCACAAUUAACUUAACUCCGCUUAGUAUCGUUUUUUCGUAAGCAAUGGUUUAUGAUUGUUACAGGUAUAUAUUUAACUAUCUAUACCAGUGAUUGUACCCGUCCCCAUUAUCCUUUGACGUCUUUUUUAGCUUUAACUCUGCGAGAAUAUUCUGAAAAUAUUUAAACUAUAGUUCAAAAUAAUAUUUUCACACACAUCAAUAAUAAUUCAGUUAGUUUAUGGUUUUGAAACAUUUUCACUUUAAAUAGAGUUUAUAUUUUGUGGUUGUAUUCAAAACUGUUUCUAGGUGGGAUAAGUGAAAAAUAAUUUUGCUUAUAGCAGGAAUACAAUUUUUAAUUGACAUAAUUAAGUACACGAAUUUAUUUUGGGUUGAUCAUUCCUAAAGUGGAGAAUAUAGAAGGAUACACGAUGAACCCCAAAAUGUGUUAAGAUAAAAUUGAAAAUAUAACGAUCAAAGAUCCAAUAGGAAAAAGGCCGAUAGAAUUGAAGGUAAGCAGCUGAAGAUAAAGAAAGAUCGAGAACAGUUUUUUUAUUUUUACGGGGAUUUCAUAAUGGCUGGAAACCAAACAAAAAUAUUAUAAAAUAAACAAAAAGGUUUCGCUUUAAAAUCUCAAACGUAAGACCACGCAAUAUCCGCUCUCGAUUCGCUCUUAAUUUAGGGUGUCGGUUAUAAUAGUAUUAUAGUUAUUGUAAUUUUCAGCGCGCCCGUCUUUGGCACCUGCACAUUAUUGUCUUUCGGUUCAACUCGUAUUAUAAUAAUACCGGGUAUAAUAAUUAAAUUAUUACAUUUUGCCACGACUCGCGUCUCGAGUCGUCAGACCGUGACGUAUAGGUGUCGCGUCUCUUCGGAUUAGACAUCUUAUUAUUACUGUGAACGGAUAAUAAUAACGAUAAUAAUUUGUUCUCGUCGGUGAGUUAUACAUACGGCCGCAUUAAUAAUAUGGCACCUGUAUAGGUAUAAUGUCGUAUGACAUUAUUAUAUUAACCUCGUGUGCGCUGCCACCACGAUAGUUAAUUAAAUUCAAACGUCAUCCUGGAAUAUUAAUUUCACUGAAAGACAUCUCUGCGCGCAGUGUACGCAUAUUAUUAUGCAUAGUAAGAUCCGUAAGUAUAACAAAUCUUAGGGUGAUCUACGGUUUUCAAUUACCGGGCCUACAAUCUCUAUUUAUAUGCCUAUAAUAUAGGCUAUAUUAUAGCCGUCAGGUUAUACCAGAGGAACGAGGUGAGUUCGGCUCGGUAUUAACGGACGUGUAUAUCGCUCCUUUGUCGAGUCAAUCUUCAUAAACGUGUUGGCUCAGAAUUACUGGUAUUGUUAUUAGUUUGGGUGUUUUUUCUUAACCGAUCAUAUUUUACUAAGUCUUCUCACCUCAACCUCGACCUUCUUAAACUGGAAUAAAACGUGUAACUGUAGGAAAAACGAAAAAAUAUUUAUGGCACGCCAUGGCGUUACCAAUUUCAUUAUUUUAAAUUGCUUUGUUUAUUUUUUUAUACCAAAAAUCUUGCUCUAAAAUUCAAGAGAAGCGUCUGAAAGAAAAUCUUGUCUAGUUAGUGAAUACUAUUAAGUAAUUUUUUGAGACUUUUUACAAAAAUUAGAGAAAACCAUAAAUGAAGUACGGAAAAAUGUACCGCGUUGAAAAUUAAAGUUCGUUAUUUCAAAUUUUCUUUUCUACCGGAAAUAUUGUUCCGAAAUUUGAGUGUAGCAUUUUUUCCAAAAUAAAUUGUUGUUGAGUUUGUAUGUAAUAAAGUAGUGUUCUUAGUAGUUGGUCAAAACCGAUUGGAUUAAACGUAAGGAAAACAAAGAAAUUUAAGGGAAUAAUAGUUUCAUUAUUUUCAAUUUUGUUUCCUUGUUGUAAUACUGUUACACAUAUUCGUAUACCUGGCAUUUCCACAGAAUAAUAUUAUACUAUAAACUAUUAUAUUACAUUUUACAUUUUAGAGGUUUUUUUUUUUUUUUAUUAUUAUUUGUUUGACACAAUGUGGAUAGCAUUUCGAGAAAAAUAGUAAAAAUUACGGCAUUUCAAAACAUGUAUAACUGAACUUUGUUGACGAAGUAAGAUUCUCGUUUACCGCUGCUUGCAUAUGUUAAUUAAAUAACUUUAUUUAUCGUACCUUUCCACCUAUAACAAUGGCACACCUGUGCUCAGUAUCUGUUUGUUGUUAAAAAAGGAUUCUAUAUUAUUAAUUAUAUAAUUUUAUUGGUUUUACCUAUAUACAAUAACAAAAAUAAUUAUCGAUAUUAUAAUUGAAUAAUAUAUAAUAUAAUAUGUAUACGCAAAAACCAUAGGACGGUUCUAUCCCCAAAUUCACCACAAAAAUACGCCACUGUACACGACGUGUUUUUUCUUUCAGGCCAUACGUUACAUCCGGUGUAACACGAAAAUGGUUUCCUACGUGGGACGCGAAAUCCUUUGUCAUAUGAUAUAAAAUAGUCGGUAAAUUCGAAUAAAGUAACAAAUAUUACAAACAAAUGUAUCAACAAAAUGUGUCUCGGUGGAUGGUAUGGAUGACUGCCAAGCUUCAGAUUUAUCUACUCUUAGAGUAUUGGCACAAAAUUGUUAUGUGUGCAGUGACUAUCUGGAUAUCUAUUAGUUUUAUAUAUACACAUACUAUAUAUCUGCGAAAAAACAUCAAGUAAAAAUAUAUAGGUUCUAAACUCAAAUACAUUUUUAGCCGAAAAAAUCAUUCCAAUCUUUACGGAAGUACCUAUUUAUUUCAAGUACUCCGAUAAUCGUUAUUGUAACCGUUAUGUUACCUAAUCUACGAGUCUUAUGGUUACACAGUGGAUAGUACAAAUAAUUUUUUUUUUUUUACGAUACAUUUUUAUGUACGUCGCUGUUCUUCGCUCGUGUGUACGCACCUUAAGACGUACAAUUUAGCAAGGUAAGGGAAAUUGAGGUAUAAUAUAUUAUUAUUUUAUCCAUUUCAGUUGAGUAUUGAAGUAUUUCGUAAAACAAUAGUUUUACAACUUGAAAAAAAAUAGCUUUCGUUUAAAAUACAAAUACGGCAAAGUUCAACCGUAUACCUAAAAUAUAAAUAAAUCGAGCGCUUAAUACGUGUGCCGUUAAGUUUCAAGAGUGAGUAUAUUAAGAUCUUGACUAUAGGCAGAUUUCAGUAAAAUUUAACAAGUACGUUACCCCAGAACCACUAAUUCUAAUAUUGAAGUCAAAAAAUAUCCUAAUGAAUUGAAUCCUGAAUUGAACUGAAAAUUGUAAAAACUCAAAUGUGAUUUGGACAAAAUUAAUAAUAUAAUAUUAUAUUAUUGUAAUACAUUAAAAAUUCUGUAUUACUGUAAACUCUUUCUUUCUUCUUUUUUUUCUUGUAACAAUCCGUUUAAUUAAUUAAAAUAAAAUAAAAAUUUGACUGUAUUCUGCAUAUUGGCGCACACAAGGCUAAACUGUCAAUUUUCGAUGAAACAAAUUUAAAACAUAUUUUUUUUUGAUAUUCUAAUUAAAAAUGCUUAUGAGGAAACUGUUAUAUAAUUAUCUUUUAAAAAAAUAUAGUUAAUUAGGCUUAGUUGGGGACAAAUUCUAAUAGUAGGUAUUUUUGGAAAAAAAUUAUACUUAAUUAUUUCUGUAUUGUGAAUUAAUGAUGUAGGUAAAGAAUAGGUAUACAAAUUAUAUUUCACUAUUAUACAUUAUUCUAAUUCUUAAUUUUUACUAUAAAUAGCUAAUGUCAAAAUUCAAUAUAUUUUUUAAAUAAAAAUUAUAUCUGAUAAAAUGUAUAUUAUAAUACUAAAUAUUACGUGCAUGUGUAUUAUGUUAACAUUAACCAUUGUAGCCUGUAGAUAUAUUAAAAUAGAUAACUGAGAACCAACGUAUCAAUUCCACAUUGAAAAGUUUGUGAUUUUAAAUUAUUAAAUGAAAAAGUCGAGUGUAAUAUUAUUGCACCACCGUUGCAAGGUUCCAGUCCCUGACUGGUCGUGCGAAAGAUAACCCAAGUUUAAGUGCACGCACAGGCUAUUAUGUCACGAUAAGGAAAUAAAUGAUUACGGUACAUUGUGCACUGGUUUAUAAAUAACGUUUUAAAGGUAUUUGUAAUUACUUUAAAGGAAAUAUAUAUUUUAAUUUUUGCUGUAAUAUAAUUGCUUGGCCUUAUGUGAGAUGAUGGGCUAUCGUAUUAUUAUAAGUGGGAAUUUUGAAUAAAGAUAUAGAGUAUAGGGUAUUUUAAUUUUUAUGCAAACUAAAAACAUUGGUACAUUAUUGAAAUCAAACAACUAUUCCGAGUUAAUUCAAAAUUCGAUAAAUAAAUGGAGAAUUAGUUUAAAUACGUUUUGUUAAAAAAAAAAAUGAGUUUAUUUAAUUUUAGCAGUAUUAAUGUUUACAAUAUUUUUACAUAAUAUAUUAGUAUUUUAUUGCAACGUCUAUCACUAAGGAUAAAAUUCUUAUAUUGAUAGACGCGAGUCUCUAAAAAAUUAAUUAAAAUUACAUUAAAUAUAAAACAAGAUAAUAAAAUAAUAAUAAUAAUAAUUUGAAUAAUACAUAAUUAAAAUAAAUGAAGAAUAUAAUUAUGGAAUUGACAAUAAUAAAUAAAAAUGUACUUGAUAAUAAAAUGAUUUUAUAAGAUUAUUUCAUCUUUGAUCAACCAUCUUUUUUUAUAACAACUUAAAAACUGCAAAUUGCUGACAAUGUUUUAUUGCCGCAGAGAGCUUUUAAUAUACUCUUAAUCCAGUUGUUAAAUAACUAUUAUAAAACUUUGCGUUGUUUGUUUUGGGGUAAAACCGUUUUUUCGGAUCUCGUGUUAUAACUGUGAAUCACCGUCUGAGGAAAAUUAUAUUGUGAUAUGUAGUAUAAAGUUUUUUUGUCAUAUAAUUUUUUUACGGAUUAUAUUUUCGUUUCGGAGCAUUACUGUUUACUAGGAUAAAGCCUAGAUUUACGAUGUAUAAUUUUUAACGAUGCGCUACCUGAUCGCCGGAAAUAUAUUUUUGUGCAACUCCUCCCCAUACAACUAUACCAUAUUCUAUUAUUGAUUGCGAUAAGGCAAAGUAUGUAUUUUUCAACCAGUGUAGAUUUAAAAAUGGUUUUGUUAUAUUAUAGAUAGCGUAUAACCUACGCAGUUUUAAAUUUAAUUCUGAAAUAUAAUUAUUCCAACGCAAAUUUUGGUCAAAUGUAACGUCUAAGUGUUUCGUAUUGUUAACUCUAUUGAUGACUGGACAUUUGCAUUGUAUAAUUGAUUUACAUAAUACGUGAGCUUUUAAGUAAAAGAUAUUCUUAGUUAUUUUUAUUGAAUUAGAAAAAUUGUUUUAUUAUUGUUUAAAUUUAAGUUAUUGUUGGGGAACUAAUCAAUUUUUUUUUUUAAAGAGUUUUCUGCUAUUUUUACUACUGAUUCCUAUGUUUCACCUAUCACAACCAACGCUGUAUAGGAAUAUAAACUACCCUAAAUUUGUAGAUUAGAAAAUCCCAUGACUUUUAAUAUAAAACAACGGAGACAGUACUGUACCCUGAGGUAAUCCUAAUAUAUAUCUACUUGUGCUUUUUAUACUGUUUAAAUUUGAACUUCGUGUCUUCUGUUUUUUCGAUAUGAUGUGUGACGAUAGAUGAUGUGAUGUUAGAUAUGACGCUUUGUGUUUAAUACCGAUUUGGUUUAGAUAAUUAAUUCAUUUAUUAUGAGAUACUGAGUCGAAGACUAUACUUAGGUCCAUAAAAACACUCAUUGGUUUUCUUUUAGAAUCCAUUGCAUGAAGAAUUGUAUGUGUUAAGUUAGUAACAGCACCUUCAGUGUCAUACCCUUUUUUAAAGCCAAACUAGGUUAUGGGAAUGAUUUGAUUUUCUUCUAGAUAAUUGGCUAAUCUUAAUUUAAUAACUCUUUCAAAUAUUUUGGAGAAGGUUUUCAAGAGACUUAUUGGUCUAUAAUUUUCUACAUUGGUUGGAUUACCAUUAUUAUGAAUUGAGAUAAUUAUUGAUAUUUCGAAGCUGAUUAGGGCUAUUCCUGUGUUUAUUAUUGUAUUAAUUAAAUUAACUAAUUGCUCAAGUGCUUUAUUAUCUAGUAAUUUAAUUAUCUCUGUAGUAAUAUUGGUAUGGCCUGGAACAAAUGUUUUUACCAUUUUCUUACUUGAUUUUUACAUAAUACUUUUAGGAAUUAUUUGAACGAAUGUAGGGAAAUGGUCAGAGAUUAAUGAUUUUAAGAUAAAUACAUUGUUGACAUAAAAGGUAUCGAUUUUUUUUUUUUAUGAAUAAAUGAUAAAAGCACGAUUCGCUACCAUCUCAUACACGAGUUGAUGAAUUUAUAUAUGAGAUGUAUCCAUAAUGUGCCAUUAAACUUACAUAGUCAUUCGUCAGAUCAUUAUUAUUUAAUAAGUCAAUGUUUUUAUUACCCCAGCAAAUUAUAUUAUUAUUUUUUUUUUCAUGUAUUAAAUUAGGUAAAAGGUCUAUAAAUGGUUCUGAAAAUAUAUUACCAUUACCAUUUGGAGAUUUCUAUAUUGAUACAAUGCAAUAUCUGUUUUUUCUAUUUUAAUAUUUGUUAUUAGGCAGUUUGCUUCAGUAAAUGAAAAUAAACAAUCAUUCCUUAUGAAUAUUAUUACACAGUCAUUUUUUUUAGAUUAAUUUCUGAAUGUAUUGUUUGAUAGUUAUUUAAAAAUGUAUAUUUUUUUAUCAAAGUGGUUAUUUAACCAAUCUUCAGAGAGAUAAAAUGUAUACGAAAAAACUCCUGAAAAAACAAAAAAAUCUUCCCUAAAUUACCACCUCAGUCAAAUUUCCUUUAAGAAAAAAUACUGAUAUACCAAAAAAGUUGUUCAUGGGAAAAAAGAACGCCAUAAUAUUUGCUUACUUACAUUUCGUACAUUUUCUCACUUUUUCUCCGUUUUUAUCCCGUUUUUUCCAAUUUAUUGGAAAAACUUCUCAAUACUUUAUGUUUAUCAAUUUUUUAUUCACAAGUGUCGGUAUGUUAUCUACUUGGUUCUCACUGAUGCUUUUAAAUGUAGUAAUUAAUAAAAAUUAUCUCGUCAACACCACUGAUACAUCUUGUUUAGAAUUUUCAUAUACAAAUUUUGAAACUAGUCGUAAAAAUGCAAACAAAUAAAGUAAAAUCUAAUAGUUAAAAAAAAUUAAAAUUUCAUUGCACCCCUCCCCCCUAAAAAAAAAAAACCUUUUUGUCUAUAUCUCAUUAAGGACUGUGGUAAAAAUUCUGAGACUCACGAAAAAUCAUGCAAAUAGCGUUUACAUUAAUGAAAAAAAAAUAUUUAUAUGUAUUCAAAUUAUAAAGAUGGCUGGCAAAAUAUAUGUACUUAUAAGUAAAUAUUAUUCUUCUUCAGCGAAUAUUUAUCCACAGCAAAACUCAUAAUAACACAAUGAAUAUUAUUUUCAUAAAAAUCAACAUUCAACAAAAAAAAAAAUGUAAUAAACAUACAGUUUUACACGCUUGCAUAAAUAUACAUAUUUUUUCAAAUUUAUUUUAUUCUGUUACGAAAAUACAAAUUUUUGGCAUUUGAUGGCGAUAUUAAGCUUUUUUUUUUCCAAGAAGACGAAUUUGUUUUCCUUAAAACAACUUGAAAUAUUUUUAUACGUCGUUUUUUUUUCUCUAUAGAAAAAUACAAAAGGAAAUUAUUUUUGGCUGUUAUGUACGAACAGUAUUUUUUCAUAUUUUUAUUCGGCAAUAUUCGGCUCGUGGCGAACACACGCACGAAAACAAAACACGAUACACUACAUUUCAUAUUAUUAUACAAUCUGCACACGGAAAAAAGAAGGAAGGAAAAAGUCGAAUGUAUUGAAACGUUACGCGAAACUUAGUAUUUUGAAUAAUCAAAUAUCCUCAUAUUGGCGUAUAGAUUAUUCGCGAGUACGGAGUAAGUAAAGUUUUAAAAUGUGAAAUGCAGAAAUAUGAUAUUUCCCGGCAGUCAACAUUUUAAAACGGUAUAAAUAAUGUUCCAUAGAAUAUGGAAUAACCUUAUCCUAAGAGUAUCCUACGAGUUUAUAACGUAGGAUACAUUUCGUACAUUGUGUACAUGAAGAGUACGGAUAUUAUUGUUAUUUUUAAAAGAUUUUCUUUUCAAACAGGAAUUUUUAAAACUGAUAUUUGAAAAUCAUCGGUUGGUCCAUAGUAUUACCAUGAAAUAAUGGUGACAUUUUGAACACUUAACCAAAAAAAAAAAAAAAUUGCACAUAUAUUUUGUACACUUGAAUAUCUUGGUUUUAAUGAAUUGAUAGCAGUGGUUUUCAAACUAGGUGCCACGGUCACCGGUUACAGUGAUCUAAUCGUUAAGUAUAAAUUCGUAACUUGAUUAACUCUCUUGAUUAAGGUAUAUGAGGGCAGAGACCGAGUAAGAGACCGAGGGCUUAGGAGGCCUUAACGAGGUGGUAGUGUGGUACUAAUCAUAGUUUAAUAAGUAUAUCGUUGUGUAAAAAGUUUUUGAAAAAAAUCUAAAAAAAACGUCCUAAGAUAAUGGAGACAGAUGCAGCCACUGUUAUAGAUGAUUUAAUGUAUACCUGUAAGCAACGAUAAACCACUGCUUACGAAAAAACGAUUUUGAGCAGAGUUCAUUUGAUAGUGAUGCUUUGUCAACAAUAUAUAUAUGUCAUUUUAUUGUAAUUAAAUAGGAUUUAUAUUGUUUCUUUAAUAAUAUUUGUUUAAUGUUGCACUGAUUUUCCCAAUUGGCAUACGUUUUUUCCAGUUUUCCCAUGUUUUAUCCUGGUUUUUAGCAUUAGCUGAGAAAACUCCCAAAAAACUACCUUUUGAAAGUAGCUUCCUAGUGAAAUUUCCAUUUAGAAACAUUGCUAUCAUUAAAAGUUGGAGCAAAAUUGUUGAUAGAAAAGUUUUGCACAGAAAAAAAGAAGACCAUAAUAUAUUUCAUCUAAUACCUACAUUUCUUAUAUUUCCCUGUUUUUUUUUUUCGGUUUUUCAAAUUGGAUGAGAAAACUCCUGAGAAAAUCGAAAAAUGAAAACUAUACUAAAAAUCGACUAUUAUUGCAUUAUUAUGUAGGAGUACCAAAUAUCCUGAAAAUAGUGUAAGUAAUACGAUUUCACUUAAACGAUUCCACGGCUAUCGGACGAAUCGAAAAUCGAAUUCUUUUUUUUUUUGUUUACCAUCCGCAAACAAUCACUGGUGCGUGGGAAAAACAAAACGAUUAUGUAUCUUUUAUACUGUCCUGUGGAAAAGCGAUUAAAAUAGAAAUUCGUUUUAUAUACCUAGAUGAAAAUGUUUCAUUUAUUUUCGUUCUUCAGUAUAAUAGGUACCGAAAUCAGAACAAAUUAAAUUUGCUCGUGUUAGGUUUAACCAUACACUGCAUAUUGUAGACAUUUGAUUACACGAUGGUUUUAUUUAAAACUAACGAUUAUUAUUUCUUAUUUUUUCAUAAAUGCGCAAUGAAGUCAAUGUUCAACAUACUAAGUCACAUACUGAUAUCAAUAUUAUCACAAUAUCCACGAUAAAAAUAAUAUUUAACGCAUAUUUUAUUUGCGCUACUCAAUAUCUUAUCAAUCGUUUAGUACUGUUGUGUUUAUCAUGUUGGGUCAAACUGUACAAAACAAUUUUGGAUUCAAAAAUAAUAUUGGAAAUCAUUAUUGUGGAUAUUCUUUUAUUAAUAUAUAUAUAUAAUUAAUUUUGUGUUAUUUACAUUCAGCUUUUUGGAUACAGCAUGCGUCUAAGGUAAAAAAAAAAAUGAACGAAGAAAAAAUCCGCUAACUCCUAACACAGCGGUACUAGACAAAUGAUAAGAUAUUGCAGGGUAGUGCACAUGAAACACACGAUAAAAAUAAUUGUUACCGUACUUACUGUGAUGAUGUUGAUAUCACUAUAGUAGUAUAAGACUUAGUAAGUUGACAAAUGUAUACAAUGCUCAAUUAUGAAAAACUAUGAAAUAAAAAUCGUUAUUUUCAAAUGAAACCAUUAUGUAACCAAAUGUCUACACUAAGCAGCAUAUAUUAUAUUAUUAUAUACACAAUGUGUAUAAAUAUAUAAAUUUUGUACUCAAACAGUAUUCGGCUAAGCAUUUUAUUUUGAUUUCAUUUGGUAUCGUAUCUAAUAUAAUUUAUUAUUUUAAGUUGUAAUAAGUAUAUUAUAAAGUGUAUCGUGUAAUAUCUAAAUGUUUUUAUGUCGGAAAAAAAAGCUGUCCUAGGUUAAUAGGGAGGGGUGCAUCCAAUUCUAUAGAUAAUUUAAUGCAUACCUGUAAACAACGAUAAACCAUUGCUAACAAAAAACGAUUCUGAGCGGAGUUCAGUUUAUACCUGGUAUAUCACCUGUUUUAUCAACAAUAUAUGUCAUAUUAUGGUAAAAUGAUUAAAUAGGCAUUCUAUAUUCUCUUUAAUAAUAUUUGUUUAAUGUACCGAUUUUCCUGUUUUUCCUAAGUUUUUCCCGGAUUUCCCAUUUAUUUUCCCGUUGUUCACUUUUGCACUGAAAACUCUUGUGGGAAUAGAAAAAUGGACUCCCUAAAGUACCUUUAUAGUCAGAUUUCCUUUCAGAAAAAUUGGAGCGAGAACUCUGGUAGAAAAUUUGUCCACAGAAAAAAUAUAAACAUUUUUAUAGAACCAUAAGCUUUUUCGCUUCACUCAGAAUCUAAAAAUAUAAAUUUUUAAUAUAGUUGGUGAGUAAGAAAGUCGUUUUUUGAAUUUGCGUGUAGUUUUAAUAAUAAUUAUGUAAAACCGAAAAAAACAUAGAAAGAACAGGGAAAUUUAAUAAAAUAAUUAGUAUAGUAUCCAUAGAGACUUGAAAUUAGGACUGAAAACUCAUAUUCGUAUUUUCUAGAAAUAUUUAAAAAAAAUUAGAAAAGAAAUACUUGAAAGUUCAACAGAAGGUUCAUUAUAAGUCGUAUUCUUUGUUUAAAAAGAAAACAAAAUUGAGUUUAAUUUUAUAUUUUUUUUUUUUAGUAUUAUAAUAUCAAAUUUUGACGAAAAUCCUAAAUAUUACGGCUUUUAAAUCACGUGAAACCGAACUUCGUUCCAAAUUGUUUUUCAUUAGCAAUGGCUUAUAACUUAAUGAAACUAUUCUUCUCAACUUCCCGUCAACAACAGUAGCACAUCCAUUCCCAGAAUCAGCCCUUUUUUUCUGGGGUUUUCUUCUAGUAUCUACUUGAUUCAUCAUUUCAUUAUGAUUUUCUGUACACACGAUCUGCCGAUUUCAGUUUAUUUCUCUUUCUCUCGCUCAAAAUAUCUGAUCAUAAAAAUAGCAAUUCAUGCGUUGUUAGUGUUUUUUUAUGUGUGUGUAUUGGCCCAUAGAUACAGUUCUAUAAAUUCAUUUAAAAAUACGUAGUUAAAUAUGAUUUUUUCACAAACAUUUGAUUAUGUUUGUUCGUAGACUGCUUGUUUUGGGUUAUGGAUUUAUUACCAACUCGUUACGAAAAAUGAAAUAAAUUCAUAAACAGUGAACAGAGUUUUGGAUUAUAGAUAAUCGGUUUAUUUAGGUAUACAAAGUAGUAGCCGUAUUUUAUUUAGGUCAACGUUUUUAAUUAAAAAUUAUAUUAGAAAAAUCCGUCAACCAUCUUGUCGGUUUCCCUUAAAGUCUACAAUAUUAUUAUAAAGUCUACUAUAUAAAUGUAUAAAUUUUAUAAUUUUAAAUCCAUCGGAUUAUCGCAAUAGUAGUUGGUAUUAUUUUAAUAGUUGAAUUUUUUUUCUUUUUAUUAUUAUUAUUAAAAUUAAUCUAUACAAUGGAUACAAAUAUUAUGUACAUAUUAUAACGGUAAAAAACAGAUACAGAAACGUAGCUUAAAUGCCGAUUUAAAAACAAAAUUUAAUUUAUACUGGCAUUUCGAUACGACAUAAUAUUUUAUAAUUAAAAAUACAUUUUUUUAUUCACAGAUACAAAAAUUAAUAUUGUUGAACAUUGGAAAAUAAUUUUGAAAAACCAAUUAUAUUUAAAUAAAUAUUGCGUAUUGUGUAUUUUGUUUUUUCGAUUGUAUAAUAUACCAUUUUUUUUUUUUUUAUUAAAAACUAUAAAAAUAAAAAGCCAGACAUACUUUUCAUACUAGAGGUUCCACUGAUGUAAGUGGAAAAUUAGGAAGAUAACAAAUACAUGAUAAUUUAACGUUAGUUUUGAGGUUAUUAACUAUGAACCAUUGAGAAAAAAACGAUUCUAAGUGAUGUUGUAGUAGCCUAAUCUGCUUACGUUUAUCAUUCAUAAAAUUGAGACAUUCGAUUACGAUUUUUUAAGACUGUAUUAUUUAGUAUGAAUAUUCGGUUUAAAAAAGAAAAGAUAAUCUUUAGUAUUUUUUUUUUUUUUUUACUAGUUACUAAUUUAUAUACUUUAGCAUUAAAUUUGGAAUUUAUUGCGGUCGCGGAUCAUCUUGAACGAACGCUCUUUAAUAAAGGUUUACAGAUAUAAUAACUUAAUGUAUAAAAAUGACAAGGCUUAUGAAAACGAAAAUUCUUAUCGAUAAAUCAACAAACUUCACACACGAAGAAUGUCUCCUCUAAACGUAUUUAUAUGUAUAUAUUUUUAUGGUAGGUAAAUAUGGUGUGACUUUUAAUAAUGUAAAUGUACACUACAGAACGCUAGUAGUGAAAUAAUUAUAUGCUUUUGAAACGUCACCGUGUGCUUUAGAUUUUGAAUCGCAAUACUUAUUUAUAGAGGUACCUAUCUGGCUAUUUAUUUUCCUUUCGAAGAUUUAUUUUGUUUUUAUUUCCUAGACAUCGAAUACUAUAAACUAGAAAAAACAUAGUCAAGCUCAAAAAAAAAAAAAAAAAACGAUGUUCUUGUGUUUUUACAGGACUACCCGAGAUAAAGGGUCUCUGAAAUACAGGGAGUGAUGUUGGUAACAUUUGAAGAAGGAGCGCAUUGGAAAAUGAAUGAUGAAUGGUUGAACAUACAUAAUUAAUACGAAAUAUUGAUCUUCCUUCUGAGUAUUCGUGCAUCUCUAAAAUAUCACAUUACUAUAUCUGUACACCACCGAAUGGUACGGAUAUAUUUCAGAAGCAGCAUGCAUUUUACAGGGGGUAUAUUAGUGGUAUCGUGGUGUUCGGUAAUAUGUCUGUAAAUAAUACCUGCUAUGCCAUGCUGUACAGUUUAAACCGAUGCCAGUUUUUACGGACGUGUUGUACGACACUUGUCUGUAAUUGAGACGCAAGACGGUGCCGUACAUAAGAUACCCGAUGAGAUAUGACGAUUAAUAAAAAAAAAGUACAAACUGUCUCCAUCCGUAAUCCACAUGCACAACACGGUGAGGUACCGUGGUACCGCAAACGUCACUGAGCUCCAUUUAUGUAUUCAAAUUAAAAUUAUGAUAACUCGAAGCUGUAAUUCCACAGUUUUAUUUGUUACAUGAAACUUAUGAUAUGUGCGUAUUUGGGUAUGUCACUGCACGAGUAACGGAAUAUUGUUGUUCAAACUCUGCUUUACAAAUAUCGAGUUUUCUUGUAUCGAUUUUUUUUUUUUUUUCAUACUAUUCAUUCGCAAUAGUCGAGUCUCUGUGUCAAACGUAACCGCAGAAUAAUAAUUUAAAUUCAAAGUUCGAAAAACAUAAGUAAUAAAACAACAUUAAAUUACAAUAAAAAUCAUAGCACGAUCAUACGGCACAACAGAACUGCUGACAGUAUAGACAAAGGAAAUAAUGUAGAUGCUCAAACUAAACCUGUGCAACGUGUUUUGGAUAGUUUAAAACUAAUACAUUUUCCACUCCAGUGGUUUUUCACUGUGACGGUUGUACAAUGAACAUUCUAUGGGAAAAUUACUGAUUAAAUCUUAUAAUAGUAUCAAUGACGAACAUAGACGUGACAAAAUUAUAACAAUUAAUCGAUGAUUUAUGCAAUGUAGUUACAAGCAAAUGCUUUCAGGUUGCCCUUUUUUAAGCGAACCACUUUUUCGACCAAACUGAGCGUGUGCGAUGUAUACAGGAUUAUUCACUAAGCGUGCACACCCCAUUUUUUUUUGGUUAAAUUUUUCGGAAGUGUAGUUAAACCGAUAUUUUCGAAUACUUAGAGUUUUCACAAAAUUUAAUUUGUAUCAUAUGGAGAUACCAACUUUGGUUUUUAAAAUGAGAAACGAUAUAAAAAAUUAUUCAAAUGAACGGCGUAUCUAUUACUUUAAAUAAAUUUUGGUGUCAGCAUUUUUGAUUUCCACCAACCCGUUAACGAUAUAUUCCACUUUUAAGUUUGGGUAGGGAAAUAAGGAGUAUAUCAUUAAAUGAUUCACAUUUUGUGUGACAGUACGGCUUGCAAAUAAAUGAACGUCCGAGUGUCCGGCGAACGACAUCCGGAAAAUAUUGCGCGAGCAGUUCACGAAAUAAUGUAAGGAUAUAGUUGCAGGGCGUCGAAAAGAUAACGUUUUUAAAUAAAAUUAUACCGUGAGUAUUGGUUUAUGUCAACGGGCUGCGUUUUCGCGUAUCGAUGUGAUAAGUUAUUAUUAUUAUUAUAUAGUAUAUUAAUAAGUGUACUCGGUACACGCGAUACUACGAAUACGCCCGAGGAAAUAAUUUACAUCGAUAAACUUCUCGGAACAAUUCAUUACUUCAUUAUUAAAAUAAUAAGUGUACACCAGCACGGUGUUUAAUUGACGGGCAAGUAGGUCGGGUCACAGGAAGUUGGAAACCUGCGGGACGUUGCGCAAUAAUUGGCGCUGAACGUGAUAGUUAAUUCACUUAAACGUUGCGUUUUUUUUUUUUUUAAAUCCUUCAUUAUUACGCAUCUAGAGUACCAGAAGAACCACCAUUCCAAAUUAUUGUCAAGUUCGUGCGUUUUGUAGUUUUCGGGAAGUAGAGAUCAGUGAGUGAGCGAGCGGUAUUUGGAACUUAUAUGUUGUAUAGACUUUUGUGUAGGUACCUGCAUUACAUACUAAAUGUACGAACCUCGGUGACAAAAGCAUCGCGGGUAGUUUCAACGUUUGUCAAACACACUGCCACUAAAGAUUUCACGGUCCGACGCGGAGUAAAUACGUACCACUUUAGCGGCCGACGACCGCCAGCCGACCUCGCGCGGACGUGAAAUGAAAAUUGACAAAUUCACGACGCACGAAUUCAUUGUUUUACAUUUUUUACGACUCACAUUUUCAACCGGAAAUCUUUUUCCAUUCGAUUUACGUACAAUACAAAAUAUUAGAUAUACGUAUGAAUGUUUACAAAUGAUUUAUUAAGUACAUUACUUUGAAUGAAAUAAUAAUUUAAUAUUAUUGUUACGGGUGUCGUCUCGCCCUCUGAUAGUAAAUCGUAUUAUAUGGCAUAAAAGUAUGGGGCUUACUGCAGCACAAUAAUAGGUAAUUUACCACGCCGCGACGCGAACGGCUACGGUAAGAAUUGUAUAUUUGGAUGUACGGAAUAUUAAUGUAACACGGACGUCGAUAACUGAUCGAACACCUACGCGCGCAUUUAGAUGGAACCGGAUACUAGGGGCACAAUGCGCGGGGUUACCGUCAGACUUUUCGAGAACAUGUUUUUGACGAAAAACGCGGACUAAGCAAAUCCAGCCGGAGAGGGCGGGUCCAGGGUAUACACAUACCGGCCGCCGAAAACAUCUUUUCAGACGAGUCUCACCGCUGUUAUCUACGAUAGCACCUUCACGCCAGAUAAUUUGCACUUUGAUAACUUUGAAUAUUUUCAACAACAAGUAAAAAUUACCGCGUACAAUAUUGCCGAUUUCGGUGGUUAGUAUACCUGAACUUAAGGUUCGGAAAUACGCCCGCAACGAUGUAUAAAAAGUUACAAGCGUCGUUAGUUACAGUAGUAUGGAAUCCACCGAAAAUAUUAUUACUGUUCAUUAACACGACCGCGGAAAAUCAUAAUUAUUUCUAAUUGUUCAAAUUAAAACGUUAUUCCUUUUGGUAUCGCAAUACUCCAAGGAUUUUGGCCGUCACCGAAUACAUCCUAUACCACUAGCCAUUGUGAAUACUCUCUUUUACCAAUUCAUUGUACCUAAUUUUCCCAGUGUUUGGUUUAUUUCUCUUUCGUUUAUUUUUGAACAUCCCGUUUCCAGUCGGUUGCCACUCAACUGCCGCUUUUAGGUUUGCUGAUUUCGGUUUUCUUAUCACGUGUCAUAAUUGACUAUGAUGCCUUCACAGAAUUCACAAUCUCUUUAUUUUUCCUACUUCUUCUCCGUCCUGGAUUGUAAAUUUAUUUGUGAAUUUAAUAAUUCAUGGUCUACGUGUUUACGUUUAAAACACUUUAAUCGCACUCGGUUGUUUUUGUAAGAAAAAUAAAAACGACAACUAUUAAAUGUUCGAUAGAUGACAUUUUGCUAAUUAUUUUCGUACUUAAAAGUAGUCGAUACAUUUGAAUCGUCAUUAAUUAGAUGAACAUUAAAUGAAAUUUAACUUCGAAAUGGCAUUUCGAUUGUCGAAAUUAUCAAUAUUACAGAUAUGAGAAAAUAUUUUUUCCGGACUAUUGGAAACAACAUUAAUAUUAAUGUUAUUAUGUCACAUUAACACGGACAAAAGGUGGGGUGAUAUGGGUCCCUCGUUUCCACCUCUAAAUACGUCACUGGGUAUUCGUAUACAAUAUGCUUAUAUAUAUAAUAUGUAUAAUAUAUUACUUAUGCUUUAAUGUGGUCCGUUUAAUCUAAAUAUUUAAUUCGUUAGAUAUUUUGUUGUUUAUUUUCGAUUUCCGUUUUCCGCGUGAACGCGUCGAAUCAUCGAAUUUCCCGUACCUACCUAUAUUAAAUGAUACACUGUAAAAUAUGAAAAACUCACCAUAAAAAAAAACAAAAAAACACGUAGUCGACGGUAUUUAUUUUAUUUUAUUUUGUUUACAAUAAUAUCUAUGUACUUUGAGAAUCUCGUCGCAAUUGGUACGCGCAUGGACUUCUCUUUUCCCCUACGAUAAUUCCGUUUACUCUGUCUCGUUUCAAUAAAAAAUGGAUAAUAGCAUGCUGUGUUACUAGUGUAAAAAUACGUUUGCUGUCGUAGUUUUUAUUAUUGUCUUGAUAUUUUAAAAAUGUAUUACCUAUACGGUUAUAUUAUAGCACUAUCACUUUCGAUUAUCUCAACUAUACGAUCGCACCAUAUAAAUAAUAAAACAAUGGAUGAAACAUGAAGGUUUAUCAAUGAAGACGUAAUAAUGAAAUUGUGUCUGUAUACUUCAUAUAGGUAAAUUAAUUUGUCACAGUGGCUGUCAAUAGUAUAAAACGAAAUGAAAAUGCUGUUAUAAAAAUUGUUCACGGAUAAAUAAAAAAAGACUUUUUAGGAUAAUUGGUUGGAUGCAGCCACUGUUAUAGGUAAUUUAAUGUAUAUUUGUAAGCAAAGAUAAACCAUUGCUAACGAAAAAUCGAUUCUGAGCGCAGUUCAAUUCAGUUUUGUCAACAAUUUAUAUGUUUUAAAAUAAUUAAAUAGACUUUAUAUAUUUUCUUGAAUAAUUCUCGUUCAAUGUUGUACCGAAUUUCCCAGUUUUUCUACGUUUUUCCCGGUUUUCCCAUGUUUUCCUGGUUUUUCACAUUUUAAGGGAAAACUCUUAGGAAAAUCGAAAAAUGUCUACCUUAAAAUACUUUUCCACGCUGAUUUACUUUCAGAAAAGGUGCCAUACAUAAAAUCUGAGCAAGUCUUCCGGUAGAAGAAUUGCGCACAGAUAAAAAAAAAUAUAAUUAACAUCUUAGUAAAACUACAAGCUUCUUUGGUCCACUCAGAAUCAAAACUAAAAAAUUUAUUAUAAAAAAUACUACUAUCCUCACAUAUUUUGAUUAGGUAUAUGCUCGUUUAGAUACAAAUUUAUGGAACGAGUAUAAUAAGGGUUAUAUAAUAUCAGCGGAAAAACGGUUUUUCUAGUUCUUGGUUUAGAUUAACAUUUCCAAAUUUAGGAUUACGAAUGGUUACAAAUCAGUUACUAAAGUAUGGAACCAAUUUAAAAGAAAAUUGUUUCAGUUGUGGUGCUAGAGUAACUUACCUAUGCAUUUGCGCUACAGUUAAGAUUUUAAUUUUUUUUUUAGUUUGGGAAACUUAAAAUGAAAAAUUAAAAUUUUACUAUAAAUUUAAAAAAAAACUUUAAAAUUUUGUAAAAGAGAUUUUUAGACAAUUUUGUUUGGUUGAAACCUUUUUUUGAGUAUGAUCUUUUAUUUUUUUAAAUGUGUUAAAGGUUUUGCAAACAUUAUUGUAGUUCAUAAUCCUUUGUAGUAUUUAAUCAAGAGUCACAAUACAUCGAAAGGGUCUACAUCAUACAUACUGAAAUAAUCUUUCUAGUUGAAACAGUGUUCACACAAAAAAAAAAAAAAAAUAAAAGAAAUAAACAUCUUUGUAAAACCAAUACAUUCAGAAUACACUUAGAAUCUAAAAUAUUUAUCAAACGAUACACAAUGUUUGACAUUUUUUUAUUGUUUACUGCUUAUUUAUACCAUUUUCAUUGUCUGUUCUUGUAGCUUAUUUUAUUACUUAUUAUUAGUGCGUAUUAUUAUAAAUCCGUGUUCUAACGAAAAUAUGAAUAUUACAUUAUAAAAUACUCGAAUUACUCGAAUACUCAAAACUAAAUUUUUAACGGAUAUUGUAGUAUUAAUAAUAAAAUAAUCUAUACUAAUUUAUUUUCAAUUUUUUUCGAAAUGUGAGACUAGAUUAAAUAAAUGUUUUGUAAAAUAGUAUGAGAAUAAGUACAAUAAUAUAUUGUAGUACAAUAUUAUGCACUCAAAUCCGAGACCCCUGCAGGUGUCCCUCAAGGAGGUCACCUUAGUCCUCUUCUAUUUAUUCUAUUUGUUAACUCGGUUACUGAAUGGAUCACAAAGGCUAAACUUCUUCUCUUUGCAGAUGGUAUACAAAUUUUCCUCAAAAUCGAUAAUCUUAAUCAAUAUCCUGAACUACAAUCCGAACUCGAUAUUUUUGCAAAUUGAGCGCAUGAUAUUAGCCUUAGUCUUAGCUUUAGUAAAAAUAAAUGUCAUAUUAUGACUUUUUCUAGAAAGCGAUCUCCUAUUUACCAUAACUAUUCUUUUAAUGGCACCAAUAUUGACCGUGUUUUUUCCCAUCAAGAUCUUGGUAUACAUUUACUCUAUCUUUAAACUUUGAACAUCACAUAAAUGUAACCGUAGGUAAAGCAUUAAAAGUCUCGGGUUUUAUUAUGCGCAACACCACUCAGUUUUCUUUUGCUCGUUGCCUCCGGACAGUGCGCUUCGCGUUAGUACGUUCAAUAUUAGAUACGGGGUUGUAGUAUGAAAUCCUUACUUGACCAAAGAUGAAUUAAAACUCGAGCGUGUCCAAAAUAGGAUUUUACUAUUUACUAUUACCAUUACUUUCAUCCCGCCGAAAAGACAUUGAUGUGCAAUUUAUUUCUUCACUCUUAAGAGACACCUCAGAUGCUUCUGAUCUCCUAUUAAACGUAAAUUUUCGUAUCCCUUUCUUCUUCUUCAAACAUCACUAACUUUUCCUAGUACCAGCUCAAAGUACACCCUACGGUAAUAACCAGCCCUUAAAUAUAAUGUUUCGUAAUUUAAAUAGCCCGUAUUUUGAUUUCGAUCAUAAGUAAUUAAAUGUACGACUAGUUGUAGUGUUUUUAUAUUUAGUUUAAUUUUUAUUUAUUAUUUUUUUUUUUUUUUUAGGGUGGUAAUAUAUCACCAUCUAAUUUGUAUUUUGUUGUCUAUGCAUUAUUUUCGCUGUUUCUGUGUAUUAUUAGUAUUAUAUUUUAAAUAACUGUUAUUUGUAAACCAAAUCCAAAAUGUUAUCAUAAAAUUGCCGACUGGCGUAUAUAAAUAAAUAAAUAAAUUGGACUAAGAAAAUACGAAAUACCAAUCUUUUUGUUAGAAAUCUUUGUUUGAAUAAAACCGACCGCAACGCGUUAUUUUUUCCGAAUGGAUAGGUUGGAAUAUUAUCCCACACACAAAAAUCGUAUCAGGAGUACUCGGAUCGAGUAGGUAUAUGAUUUUGCUAACGGUGAGUAUGUUUUUUGGCACAGGUUAAAGUCAAUGGGGCAAUAAAGUUUACUGCAGUGUAAAUGUUUUUUUUAUGUAUAUAUAUCCAUGCCCUAUAUAUUUUACUUAAAAUAAUCCCUUUGUAAAUUUGUUGUUAUAUGAAUACGAGUGUGUAUAGGUAUUGAAAUAUAUUAUUAUAUUAGUUUAAAAUUGAUUUUGAAUAACAAAACGUUUCAUUAAAACCCAUCAAAAUUUGUUUUUCUCAAUACUUUCCGUUUAAUGAAAUCGUAAUGUAAAUAUCACAAGAAUAUAUAAAAUAUUAUUGGUAAGUUAAGCUAAAAAUGUUCAAGAAAAUAAUAACUUAGCGUCAGGUACACAGUAUAAUAACUAUUAAGUCUUUUUGUGAGUGUCUGCGAGUAAAAUACAUUUCUACCAAAAUCUGGGUUCACAUGAAAACUUGGACGGUUCAAAUCUGGAAUAUAAACUUUUGACAUCCGUAAAACUUUAAACAGUGAAAAUGUAGAUAGUACAAAAGUGAAAUACAAAAUGUAGAAAACUGUAAAAAUCUGGACGAUAUAAAUUUAGAAUUUAAUAUUUAAAAAAAGUGCUGAUAUUCCAAAAAACUUCGUUAACGAAAAAACGAUUCAGAGCGAAGUUCGGUAAAACAUAUCUCGAAAUGCCAUAACUUUCAUGGUUUUUGUCAAACUUUUGUUUUUCAAUGCUUAUAAAAACAAAAAUUAAAAUACAAAAGUCAAAUUUUACAAUUUUUUUUUUUUUAGAUAGGUCGAUUAAACCUUAUACCACAGGUUCUACGACUCAGGCCUUACCCAAUUAGCCACGAGAAAACAACUAGGUAUUUAAGGCGUAUUUAUAUAGCGUAAUCACGAUAAAUUUCAAACUUCCAUAACUUUCUUAAUAAUAGUUUCCGCGAAAAAUGACCUGUAAGUACAACUUAUAAAGAACCUUGUGUUAAAUGUUCAAGUAUUUCUCCGUCAUGCAAUUUUAUAUUUCAGAUUUGUACCGUCUAGAUUUUUAAGAAUUUCAAAAUUUUAUAUUCCAGAUUUAUACCGUCCAAGUUUUUACGCGCUCCACAAAAUCUUGAUCCAAUCAAAAACUUUAUAGUACCUCUCCUGUAGCAUUUUUUUUUACUUGGUAUAUUAAGCAAGUUUUUUUUUUUUUGAUAUACCUGUAUUUAGUGGUUUUACAAAUAGUUUUUUUGACAUAGUUUUGUAAAAUUUGUUAAAAUCGAUUUACGAGAUUUUACUGGGUAGCCAACCCAAAUUAAGUUAAAAAUACAUUUAUUGACGUACGUAGUAUUAGGCAACUUCAAGUAUAUAGGUACAACAUGGAAGUAUGUUUGAGUAACUUAAUUAACUAAGGCGAAAAAUAUAGGCACCUACACAGAUUUUAAAACAAUUCAUAAACAAUUUUUAAAGAAAAACUUAAAUUUGUAUAAAAUAAUUUAUGGGUAUUAUAGCUUUACUUUUUAACCUUUUACUGGAUACUGCCCAGCGGUUUUUCAUAUCGUACAAAACACACAUGCAUAAUAUUAUAUUUAAUGAAGAGAAAUAACAAUUUGUCGGUGGCUGCGAGAGUGUUAAACUAUCCCAACGUAUGGAAGAGAGAGUAUACACUCACUCGAUGUUUCAAUGUGAAAAAUAGUGAAACAUCUCUGCGUAUGUGUCCGUUCAAAAUAAAAAUUUAAUCGUUUCAUAAAUCUUUUCCGUUUCGUAACGUUAUUUUAUUAGGUUAAUAAUACUAUUCUGUCUUGCCCUAUAAAUUCCAACCAACAGACCAUUGGGCAGCACACCGAUGAGAUAAGACAAUGCUUAAUGUAGUAUAAUAUAGUAUAUAUUAUAUGACCACCGAAUAAAAUCUAUUUUAAAUUCUGAGCGGAGAGAGCAUCAAAUGUAUUGGUUUUAUAACGAUUCUGAUUUAAAAGUUUCUGUGGAAAACUUUUCUACCGGUAAUUUUACUUCGAUUUAAAAUAAUAGAAUUUUUUCUGAAAGGGAAUCUAAUAGUGGUAGUUCUUUAUGGAAGUCAUUUUUUGAUUCUUCCAUGAGUUUUCCCAAUAAAUGAGGAAAACCGGGAAAAUGGGUACAAUAUUUAACAAAUAUUGUUAAAAAAAUUUUUCUUAUAAUGCAUAUAUGUUGUUGAAAAAGCAACAUUAUUAAUCGAACUCCGGUCAGAAUCGUUUUUUUGUUUGCAAUGGUUAAUCAUUGCGUUCAGAUUUACAUGAAAUUCCCCCUCUGUCUUCUCAACUUCUCACCUACCUACAACAGAGGCUUACGGCCCACCCACGUGCGAAGUAUGUCCAUUUUUUUUGUUCCUUGUCUCUGAGUAUGUACUGUAUUGUAUUAUCGUAUUAUUAUCGUCUGUUAUACGCACGCACCGACACUGGUGUUCGAUAUUGAUAAAUUUAUUUAGCGAACGUGUAUAUUAUAUUGUAUAAUCAUAUAUCGUGUAACGUCUGUAUAAAUACAAAAAUCACGUGCAAAGCAUUAAUUUCGUAUUUUAUUUUUGGUGAGAAAUAAUCCAUUCAAGCUGUACACGCAACAAAUUCUAAUCAGCAUUGCACCGGUGUAUACCAAAUAUUAUCGAAUACACAACCAAUGGCGUAAUUUGGUAAUGUCCGUAGUGGGGAGGGGAGAAAUGUUUUUAUAUUUUACCUAUUGACCCCUCUCCACACCAAAAACAAAACCUCAUUUAUCAUAAUCAUCUUUUAGUGUAAUAAAUGUAUUAGGUACCUACGCAUGUGAUAAUGCGUAUAAUAUUAUAGUUUUCAUUAAUCUAGAUAAAAUAAUAUUUGACCAAUAGCUGGAAUUUUUUUAUACCAUUACCAUAAUACAAUAUAUAGGUAUAUUUGUGCAAUACUGCAAUAAUGGUACCUAUGUUGCCCUACUAUUGCGAAAGGCAGUAUCUACAAAAAUAUAAACGUCGGGAAAAUGGGUGUUCUUCUUUUUGAUCUUUUUCGCUUGUUAACAAUAUUAUUCAAUGUUUUAAUCAUUAUUUGUUGUUAUUUAAUUCAGAAAUCAUUAUCGAUAAUUUUCUUUUUCCAAAAUCAAAUAAUUAUAGUUUAUACCUUUUUUGUCAAGAUUAAGUAGAUAUCGUAUUUGUGACAGUCAACAAUUAUCACAACUAAAAUUAAUAAUAUUUAUAUUCGAGUAUAAACAUGUAGAUACUGCUUACUGUUGAUCAGAUAAUCUAAGGUUACUAGACACAAUAUUUAUUCCGCUAAAUAAAUUUACCAAACAUAACUAUUAACAGUAACUACACAACAUAUUAUACUUUGUUUUUUCUAGAAUAUAUAAUUUACUGCUUGUUUCUCUAGUAUCCGAUUUUGGUAGAUACUACACAUGUAAAGCUCAUUUAGAGAGUCUAAAUAAUAAACAAUAAACAAUAGGUACCUAUUCUACAAUAAUCUUAUUUAUGAAAAAUUGUCGGUUACUGCCUUUUACUUUGGCAGGGCAGUGUACAGUUACGUUUAUCACGAAAUAUUUAUCCCCUCCCCCUUUCCCACGUAACAACGUCACUUUAAAUAUUGAUAAAUGUUAUUGAUUAGUUAACAAUUCGUAUAUAGCUAUAAUAAUGCAUGCAAACUCAUUAUAAGAUGCCCACGACGUUUACUUUACCUAUAAUGGAGCAACGAUUAUAUCUAUGAAGAUUCAGAUUGAAUAUUAAUACGAUUUUUAUGCUUUUCAAUAUUUUCCCCUUAUAAACGCACAUAAUAUAGAAUAUUGAAAUGGCAGUUCGUAUUUAUAAACUGUCCGAUUUGAAAAUAGACUAUUAUACUUUUCUAGAAAAAUUUUAAUAUGCAUAACACUAUAGUUUCAAAUCACUACGAACAACGAGACCUGGAAAUUUAAACCGGGGUUACUCUGGGAAAUUUUAUUUUAAAACGGAUAUUAAAUAUCUAUACGCCCUUCCGGUUUAAAUUUUAAAUGUAUAUACAACUCAUAAACCUUUUAAUAAACAUUUUUUUUUUUCGACGUUUUUGAACGUGAUUUUAAUAACGAUAAUAUGUGCGACCGGAAAUAAUGAAAUAAUGUUAACAUUUUGAAAAUAUUGCGAACAUGUAUUUUCAUAUAGAUAUGAUCGCCGACUCGUUCUGAAGAGAAUCACCCCGUUUGGUUUCAAUAUGAGGCAUAAUUGAGGCAUUAAGCAGUAUCUUUUGUAUAAAUAUCUCAAACACAAUCGUAUCUCGCAUCUAAUAAAUUAUAAUAAAUUUCAAAUAAAUAAUCACCGCAUCUUUUAAGAUACCCGCAUACGUGAAAAAUGUAAUUUAAUGUUUUGAUUUUAAUUUAUCGAUUAUGUCUUUACUAUGCAAAAAGAGACAAACUGAAAAAAAAAACAUGUUUUUUUAAAAAUCCAUUUAAUUCAUCUCUAAUUAUGUACGAAAAAAUGUGUCAAAUUAAUGAAAUGUAAAUCUAAAAUUUAAAUUAAAAGAACAAAAAAAUAACACAUUUUUUUUAAUUCGUUUAGUCACUUUUUGCAUGACGCAAACAAAAUACAUAAAAUGCGAGUAUAUCUGUUAAUUUUCUAGUUUCUUUCUAAUCCCAGUAUGUUGUAGAUAGGUAAUCUACCUAUAUCAUCUAUAAUAUAAUAAUAAUAUUACGUAUUUUCACGAGGUUUUCGCGUGGGGGACUACGAGCAAAAAUAACGUUGAAAACUUUUAUCAAAGGCACGCUGUCGACAAUAACGACGACAACAAAGCGGAUGUAAAGGUCUCUUGCCGUCAACACCCGACGAUCAAGAGAGUUAUAAUAUUAUUAUAACACGUCAUCGAAGUAUUUAUUUUUUUAUUCGGAUUCGUGUUAGCUUUUUAUAUUAACUAUUACUAUUAUUGUAACUUUUUUUUAUUAUUAUAAAAAUUAAAGUUAAAUAUAGACUUAUAAUAAUGUAGUACAAGAGAGUAGGUACACGUCAUUAGAAAAACAUCAAAAACAUAAAUGUUUAGAGCAGAUAUUAUGGGUAAUGCGAGGGUAAAAAUAAAAAAAAAAAAAAACACAAAAAAUGCAAGUACUGUUUAUAAUAAUUUGUUUUUUAUUCAAUUUCCCAUAAAGCUGUUUUAUGUUAAACGUCAACCGUAACUAAGCGAUUUAAUAUUUCGUGAGUAAUGUAUACUAUUACGCGAACCGCUAAAUGCCAUGCAUUAUUGGCGUUAUUGCAUUAUUUGUACAUAAUGUAUAAUCAUGUCAUAUUAUACCCUUGAGCAGCAAAGCUUCAUCACUAUAGAACUAAAUUUUCCUCCGCUUAUUAUUUCGUAUCUAAUACAUUUUAUUUGGAAAACAAUAAAACAUAAUCGAUCACGAUAACUAGUAUUUCUAAAAAGAAAAAAAAAAUAGUAAAAUCUGAGCAUACAAAUGGUAAGAACAGGAGUUGAAAGUAUGCAACAUAUACCUACAUUAACACACAUUUUCAUCUCUUAAAAUGUGCAAUGUGACUAUCAUAAUCGUGCCCAGGUAUUUUUGCAGGGGAGGCAAUAAUUUAUGAAGUCAAAUCUUACACAAAAAUCAUAAGCACAAAUAGUGCAAACAUUUUUGGACUGGACUUAAGCCCCAAUUAUAUUGAUUAUGUAAACUUAGUAUUUAUUUGUUGAGGACUUUAUUUUAGGAGUCUUGGUUCAAGUAUUCCGGAGGGGGAGUCAAAAUCCUCCAAAGGCCUGUCUUCUGUUUUCUUAAGCGUAUUCCAUUAAAUAAACAUAAUUAUCAACACGAGCUCAAUAUUAUUUACAAUAUAGCCCAUAGGAAUAAUUUCAAUUUAAACACUGUUAAAACAAUUCAUAAACGUUUUGAAGAAAAAAAUAUACACAACUCACCGACUAUUGUUGUUAUCUAUUGUAGUAUGAAAUAAUAUGUCUAAUGAAUUCGCUAAAACUCUGAACAAUAUAAAUAACGUGAAAAUCGCUUUUAAGACUAAUAAUAAUUUAAUCAAGCAUAGAAACAAUAGAACUAAAAACCUCACAAAAAAAUCCCCCUUCUUUUAAGAAUGCUGAUGUAUACAAACUUAAAUAUAACUGUAAUACAUUGUAUAUAAGUAAGACAAAUAGAAAAUUUUAAAAUUAGACACAAAGAACAUAUUUCUGAAAUAAAAUUAAAAAAAAACUGCCCUUAAUUCAAAUUUUCCUAAACAUGUUUUAGAAAAUAACCAUAAUAUAAAUUUUGAUAUUAAUAAAGACUUAGAGAUAUUAACUAUUCAAAAUAAUAUUUACAUUAAUUCAGUUUAAGAAGAAUUACAUGCAUACAAUGAAAUAAAGAAAAGUAAUUUUAAUAAUAUUUAAAAUGCACAAACCGAUUUUAAAAAUAAUGUAUCAAUACAUUUUAGAUAAUAAAUAAUCACCAAAUAGUUUGUAUUCUGAACAUAAUAUCUGUGUGUUUGUGACGUUCAUUUAAUCUUAUCUUUUCGUUCUGUUCAAUUACUACAAUUUCCACGGCCUUUCCCCAUUUUUGUGAAUAAAUUAAAAUUAUUAUGUUAUCUGCGAAUUAUGCAAAUCGAACAUAUUGUCGUGUACCUAUAUUUAUCAUUGUUGAGUAGCGGGAAAAUAAAAAGUCUUAUUGUUACCAUUAAUAUUAUUUUUAUGUCGUGCCGUACACGGCGAUCUUUAUUGUAAAUUAUUAUCGUUAUUUUAAUCGGACGUCGCCGGCGAUUACUCGCGUCUUUUGUUUUUUUCGUUUUCGUUUCUUUUUUGCAUAUUUAACAUAAUAUUAAUAAGUUGUUUUUUCGUUAAUUUAGUUUCUUUAGCCAUUUGUCUAUUAAUUAUUCCUCGUUCUCCUCGUCACUGUGACGCAGGCGAUCCAUACGAAUUACUAAAAAUAAAAACAACUUCACUUUUCGCGUAACUGAACUAUGUUGGUUUUUUCGGUUCCCCUAACGCCUUUCCGACACCAAUCACUCAAUAUUCCUUCGUUAUUUUCGCCUAACUUGGACGAAAAAGUAGCGUGGUCUUGGCGGAUCCAUUGCAGAAGUCCAUCACCAGCCACUACGUGUCGAGUUUUCGGUUGUCCAGGUCGUCCAGUUGUUUCACCUAACGGGAUCGGAUUCCAGCCGGAAACGUCUCAUAAACAAACCGGAUCGUAUCAUUGUUUUAAAAUAUUUUUAAUAUUUUAAAUAAUAGGUAUAAGUUAGGUGUAGGGAUAUGUAAGGUACGUGUUGAAUCGUGUGGGACCCCGCUGGUCAGUCCAUCCUCUUUUAUCUGUCUUCCUUUCCCUGAAAUUAUUCGCAUCGCAACUUAUUUUCUCGUCUACAAGACCAAUGUGCCGUCGUUAGUUGAUAAUAAAUUUUCAUUUUCGACGUUGUCAUCGUCCUACUCUACCACAGCCCGGCGAGAGAAUCCAGAGUCAAGUAAAUUGCCAACUCACGUCAAUCAUGGUGCAAAAUGUCGAUCGGUCCUUUUUGACCCGAUCUCUAGUCCUUCUCCAUAUUGAUUAAUCGGUUGAUUGACUUUUCGUAUGUACACUAUGUCUAAUUAUAACCCAUUUGAAAAAAAUCUCUCCUAUUAAAAUACAUUAUUUCUAUAUGAAACGAAUAAUUUGUAUAAUUUUGUUCUGUGUAUUCAUUUAAUUUUUUAUAUUCAGUUGCAUUUUACAUUUUGACUAUGAUAUAUCUGUUGUUGAAUUUUUAAUUUGAAACCGGUCGUAUUAUAUGCUUAUCAUAAUACUCCAGGCGACGCAUUUAUUAAUUAAUUUAUUUCUAUAUUUUUUUACUAUAUUUAUUUACGAGCAUUAACCGUUUGAUAAUUUUUUUUUUUUUUGUUACUUUAUUAUUUUAUAAAAUUAUAUAUUAUGUAUAUUUAACAACAUUGAAAUAUCUACUAUCAAGGUACCUUGGAAUACCUUGGAAAUCAAGCAGAUGCUAUUUCUUAAGUAGGUCUAAAGCUACUAAAUAAAAUGCCACCUCACAUAAUACAUUUCAAAUUCAAUAUCCUUUUUUCAAAAAAAAUGUUAAAAUAUGGUUGGGCUAUAAUUCAACCAGUAUUUAUAAGUGUAAUGUCUAUAGUGUGAAACUAAUAAGUGAAUAUAAACAUUUAUAACUCCAUAUAAUUACUGUUGUUUUUAUAUUAUUAUUUUUUUAAAAUUCUUUAAAUGUAUUUAAUAAAUUUAAUUAAUUAUUCAAGUGUAAAUUUUUAAUUUAAUUUAAUUUUUUAUAUUAUCAUAUGCGUAUCAUAUCUUUAUUUGUUUAUUAUUCCAAUUUCACCAAUAAGAGUUUAUUUUCAGUGAUGAAUUGGGUCAUUGUAACAUAAACUUCUAAAUUUAUUCUUAGAUGGCCAAAAAAAAAAAAAGUGAUUGUGUCAAAUAAUGUGAUCUAUUAAUUUAAUUUUUCUUGCUGUUAUCGAUUUUAUUAAUUGCCUUUUUGUUUUGAAUUUCUAUUUUUUUUUUCGUUUUGUUAUAUUUUGCUUCAUUUAAAAUUAUAUGUAGAGACUUGAAUUUUGGACAGAAAACUUACAUUCGCCUUAUAAAAUAAAACUAUUACAUUUAUUAUUAUUAACAUUAUUAAAAAUAUUAACAUUUUAAAAAAGCUGUUGCCAUUUUUGAGCUAUUUAUAGAUAUUUUUUUAAUUUUACGUAUUUCUUGUUCGGUAAGUACCUAUUCUAUGCAUAGAAUUGUUAUAUCAAACAGAAAUUCUAGACAAUUUAAUAGAUUUAUUAUAAGUCGUACUUUGUGGUAAAAAAAAAAAAUUGAUUAUAAUGUAGAAUUAUUUUUUGUACGAAUUUGAAUAUCAAAGUUUGAAUGCAACACUAUUAACCGAACUCCACUCAGAAUCGUUAGCGAUGGUUAAUCAUUUGAUAUACAUUCAAUUUUUCUUCCACCUUCCCAACUUCUCACCUACAACAGUUGCUAACCCAUCGUACAGAGUAUAUUAGUCUUUUUACCUUUUACUUUCGCAUCUUAGCAUCUUAAACGUAAUCAGGUAUUUUUAAUCUUACUAAUUCUAAUUACCAAUUUAUACCAAUCGUUUAAUAUUUUAUGUUAUAACUGAUAAUUCAAAAACAGGUAAACAUUAAAAAUAGUGUAAGUAAUAUUUAAUCAAACGCGUUGUUUCUUCUACUUAUACUAUCUACCAGCAAUUAUAAUAUACUAUAUUUAAUAAAUUGAUGUAGGUAAUCGUUUAUUACGUAAUAGUAAAAAAAAAUUAACUUUUCGCUAUACUCAUAUCGAUAUUUGUACAUAUAAUUUAUCUAUUUUGUUUUGAAAAACUUACCUCGUUUAAAAAACGCGUUCAUGUUUAUAAACAGUUAUUUUUAAUUUUUUUUUUAUGAAAACAUUUUUAUCAUUUCCCAAUUAUAUUGUAAUAUUAGGAAAAAUGUCCCAUAGUAUACAAUUAUAAUAAUGUCUCGUGACUGUAUAAAACUAGCUUCCAACAAACAAAACAUCGAACUUAGCGAGAUUAAAGUGACAAACAGGUAGGUAGAUAAUCGGACUUUUCGCCACACCCAUCGCAACUCCUGCACGAUAAAAAAAUAUACCGCAAUAAUGAAUAUAGUAUUAUUCUGGUAAUUAUAUUGUUAUUAUUAUUACGUCGUUGUGUCGGACAAACAAAUACCUAGUCAAAAAGCAGAGGACAACAUUAUGACGAGAGCGUGUUUUAACAUUGCAGUUCCUAUAAUAUUAUGAAAAUCUCUAGUGGAGAACAUCGUCUUUUCGUCACACAAAAAAAGGGUUAUGAAUUGCAAAUGUUAGAGAACACAACUUUAUCGAUAAAAAGGAACGAUAUACAUAUGGGUUUAGAUAAAUCGCUCUCACUUGUUACGAACCACGAAUGGACUGAAUCCGUCCUUAACUGCAGUCGUCCAUUUUCCGUUUCAGUAAUAAAUACGAAUCGUAUCUUUUUGAUCGCCCGUGAUCUGUUUUAUAAUAUCACAUUCCAGCCUAGGUCUUCCCACGCGAUUUUAACCUUUCAGAAAUGGGAAACAAUUUUCCUUUUAUAAUCAAUUUUGAUCGACUUUCGUGUCUGAUUGUACGACCAAUCUACUCGUUUCGUCUUGUUUUAUUUUUAAUUAUAAAAAAAGCCACUAUUUUAUAAUCUGGAAAACUUACCAACUCGUUUGAGUAUAUUAUUGACAAUCAAUUCAUGUCAAACCCUUAAUAAUGUAUAGACGGUUUUUUUUUCUUCAUAACGAGUGAUAAAAAUAUAAAAUCACUCUGGAGGAUACGUUUUCCCGAAUGUCUUGCAAAAAUACGUUUUUGAACAAAUUUCACGAUUAUUAAAUCAAUAGACCUAUUAUUUUGUUACAAUAAUUAACAAACGAUUUUAUAUUUCGAGCAUGUUAAAUAGUUUUUAGAUUAUAAAAUAAUAUUUGUUUUCUUUCCGUAUGUUUCGACUAUAAUAUGUCUUUUAAAUCCAAUAAGAUAGGACAUACAUCCUUACGUAGAGUAGAUAAGCUUGUAAUAUAAUAUUUUAAAAAUAUAUAGCAAAUACUAAAAAAAAAAAAAAAAAUACUAUUACUUUAUUUAGAAUAAUGUUAAAUCUGUAAAAUUAAAUAAAACGAUAGUAUGCCGUAAUACGUAUAUAGUUGAAUUGAGAGUUGAUACCUNNNNNNNNNNNNNNNNNNNNNNNNNNNNNNNNNNNNNNNNNNNNNNNNNNNNNNNNNNNNNNNNNNNNNNNNNNNNNNNNNNNNNNNNNNNNNNNNNAAAAAAAAAAAAAAAAAUACUAUUACUUUAUUUAGAAUAAUGUUAAAUCUGUAAAAUUAAAUAAAACGAUAGUAUGCCGUAAUACGUAUAUAGUUGAAUUGAGAGUUGAUACCUGCUACCUGUUCAUAAGUGUGUUACAGCGGCAAGUUAAGAAUGCAGGAUUCAUAAAGCUAUUUAGUUAAUGUCUCUAAAAUAAAUAUACAUAAAUUAUAAUUAAUGAAAUACGAUUCUGAAUGAAAUCCGGUUACACAUAUUUUAAAAUGCCAUCAUUUCAAGAGUUGAAAAGUGUUAAGAAUUUAUAAAAAAUGUAUUUUUAAUCAUGUAUCACUGGGUCGAAAUUCCGUGACAUUUAGAAUACCGUAUGAAAAGGUUAGAGUGGGCUGGUCAUAGAUGGAAUCCGGAGGGUAGAUUGAUUAGAUGGACACUUACUAGCAGGCCAAGUAGAAAAAAACCUAUCGGAAGACAUCAGUCAACAUUGGUUGGACAGAGCAAAAAACGAUUUAAAGAUAUUUAAAAAUUGAGCGAGAAUCGAAUAUGCAGAUAAACGAGAAGUUUAAAAAAAUGCGUUUUAAGGUUUUACAAAGAUGUUUAUAUUUAUUUUUUUAUACAGUGUACAAAAAUCCUACAAGAAAUCUUACUUCGAUAUGUACUUACGGUACCAUUUCAGAAAGGAAAUAUUAUACAGAUGGUACUUUUGGGAGGUCGUUUUAGAUUUUCCAAACAGUUUUCAUAAUAUUUGGGCAAAGCCAAGAUAAAACGUAUGAAAAACGGAAAAUUUAGAAAAAUAAUGGUUUUAUUAUUUUUUCAAUUUUGUUUUUUGUCUUACGGUUAUUUUUUGAUAUUCCCGGGAGUUUUCCCAAUAAAUGGGAAAACAUGGAAAAUAGAUAUAAUAUUAAACGAAUGUUAUUAAAGAAAAUAUAUGAUGCAUAUUAUGUUAUUGUUUUACCAUAUAAAUUGUAGAAAAUACAACACUAUUAAACAAACUUUGCUCGUUUUUACGUUAGCAAUGGUUGAUCGUCGCGUACAGAUAUACAUUAAAUUUUCCCUCUACUACUUUCCCAUCUUCUCUCCUAAAACAGUGGUCCGCCCAUGUGCUAAGUAUGUUCGUCUUUUUUUCUGUUUUUAUGAAAAAUUUCGACCAAAAUUUUGAUCCGAUCAUGAAAACGUUGUCAAGUCAUUUAGUGUACGAGUUUUGAGGAGGCUAUUUUGAAUUCAGUAUACUUAAAAUAAUAAAGUUUUACUUGUAAGAGUCAUUCAUAUUGUUUAUUAUAGCGUGGUGAAUGGCGGACUUAUAUAUUACGGCUACUGUAACUGUCCGUGUGUUCCUCAUUAGAUUUUUUUAUCUAUAAGAUUAGCGAUCAGAUGGAUUUCGAUGUUCUUCAUCAAAUUCGAUUAAUUUGAUUACUAAUGAGAUUGCUUCUCGGUGCACAGGAUGAUUAACUAACAAAUUAGACGGUGCGCUAGAGUCAUUCGACGAUAGAAAUGUGUUAUUAUAAUUUUGUGGUGUUAAUGUGUUAUCACCGUGUAGCCGUACCGUUUUUUUCCAUUAUAAUCGCGUUAUCAAUCCGUUUGUUCCGUACCGUGUUUGUUAAUCUAAUUAUUUGCUUGUUUGUUAAGUUUUGCGAAUUAAUACACAAUUGAUUGAUAUUAUCAGUGUUACUGUUAACAUCUAUUAUCAUUUAGUUAUUUUGAUAUUCUAAAAUCACGUGAUGGAUCAUUUUUCAUUUUAACCACGGCUAUAGAUAAUUAUCUAUAAUAGUGGUUUUAACAAAAACAAUGUUCCUCGACAAUCAAUCCGAUGUCCCAUCAGAUUAAACAUCACAUGAGUACAAUUUUUGAAUGAGGAACACACGGUAUGUAAAUUUCUAAUGCAAUAUACACUACCCUAUCGAUUACAUAAUAUUAUAACAUAUACGAUAUUAUGGUAUAACUCAAUUCAACAAAUGCUAUUUUUGCCGGCUUUUGGUGUCAUCGGACCCCGCUGUGCGCCGGCUAUUCAGCCUGCCGACCAUACCCUCAGUAAUAAUAUUUUAACGACGUAGUUUUACGGACGUGGGUAUGAAGUUUGACGUUUUUGAACUUUCGUCAUCGUCCGUUGUACAACCGAUGAUACCGGGAUUCGGUGUUGCAUUAGUGAUCCGCGUCGUUAAUAGGACACUUUAAACUCGUACGCGCGGCGAUUUUACUGCUUUUGAGAUUUAUACCCGAGGCACUUCGUGCACGGUUAAUUAUUAUAAUAUUAUUAUGUUGGUAAUUAGUUUUCGUCCGUCUGGCACUAUACACGCAUAAUAGGUAGGUAGGUUAACCACUGUUACAGCUACGUUGAUGUACCGAUGGAAAUAUAACAAUAUACACAUAUUAUUAUAACUGUUGUUGGUUUUGUUGUUGUUGGUGAUGGAGUAGUAUGGUUUAUCUUGUUUGACUAUUAAAUUAUAUUAUUAUUGUUAUUAUUUUGUCGUUUUCCAAAAAUUUAACUAACAAUCCACCAGAGAAUUGUAUGAUUUGAAUAUAAAGGACUGUGAUGAUAACUAUAAAAAUAUAUCAUUUAGUUUAAAACUAAAACAAAGGUUGAAAAUGUUGAAUUCAAAGGCGAACUAACCCGUUUUCUUGCACGGUUUGAUUGUGUAAUACGUAUACCAAUCAACAUUUGAAUAAAAUUCUUAUUUGAUUUACCUUGUAUGUUUUUUAUUAAUAAUACCUGUCCUGAAAAACUUUGAUCGUAUCAGUAUUGAACGGAAAAAAAAUGUCACAAAUAGAAACGCAUUUCCCUUUAUUCCCCCUUCACCUCGUCCUUAUCACUAUACGAUUAACCGUUGUUGACCUAAAUUUACAAAAAUAAAAACCAUUUCCUUUUAUUUAUUUAUUUUUUUUUUGUAUCCUUAAUAGUUGAAUUUCGAGCAAAUUCUUUCUCAGUAAUUCCACGGUACUUUUUUUUUUUUAUGUGUACUUCUUUGACCGAGAAAAUUAAAUUAGCUACCUUAUAAUAACCUUUUUUUUUCACCGGUCACCAAAAUGAAUCAACGACAAUUAUACGAAUUUCGUUUCAAUAUUACCAAAAACCCUGUAUACGCCAUUCUUUAGGAACUGAUUUUCGGUAUGAAAAGUAGCCUAUAAACCUCCUUCAAACAUAUUUCAAUUCAGGAUGGUAGUCUCUGUGAUCAGUGCUUUCACAUAUACAGACUUUUAAGCAAUUUAUAUUAGUACCUAUAGUAGACUAUAGAGACUAUAGAGAAUAGCCAAACGGAAGGAGAGAGAACAGGGAAACAGAAAAAAACGUUAGAAGAACGUGAAUAAUUACGCUAUUUUACGCUGGUUUCCGUUAAUUUUGAAUUUUAAUUUGUUUAUUGAAUCUUGGAUCUAGUUGAUGAAUUGGGGAAUUAUUUAUUUCACACGGAGUUUUCAUGAUAAUUGGGAAAAACCGUAUAAGAAAAGAGGAGAAAUAUUUACAGUGCGCCACGGCAUUACUGAUUCUAGUGUUAUAAUUUUUUCGAUUUUUCUUUUCUACCCAAAAUAUUACUCUACAUUUUAAGAGUAGUAUUUUCUCUGAAUUUUGAAAAUUUUAUUUUAACGGUGAGUAAAAACGUUAUUUUUAUAUUUUUCAAGUUAUUGGCAUAGUAAUAAUUGGGAAAGCCUUUUAAACUUAAAAUAAAUUUACGGUGUUCACGAUUUCAUUAUUCAAAAUUUUUCCAUUUGGUUUUUCAACUAGAAAUCUUGCACCGAAACUCAAAUUUAGAAUAUUAUUUUCUGAAAGAAGACGUUAUUUAGUUGAUGCGUAAAACAGCCAUUUUUUUUAAAUUUUCCCUAUCGUUUUCUUAAUAUUCAAGCGAUAUUGAUUAAUGGAUUAUAUUUUGCUAUUAUUUUGUUUUAAACAACGUUAUUGAUUCUGAUUUCUAUUAUUUUUUUGUGUUUCACUCUUUUUCUUAGUAUGUGUUACAUUUAAGUUUUGACCUUUAUUUGAGGUCAACUUGGAACAAUUUUUCUUUUAUUUAAAAAAAAAAAUAAAUAAAAAUAGUUUUAAGCAAAAAGUAUGUAAAUAAAUUAUGUGAUUAUAUUUGAUAAGUCUUCAUUUUUUCUCACGAAUUUAGUAUUUUUAACUGAAAUAAUAAAUACUUUUUUCUUAAAUUCAGAGGGAAAUGCUAAAUUUUAUUUUUGUCCCCAGUCUCCUCUACUUAAUAUACUUAUUUAGAAAUGGUGGUAAUUAUUGAUAAAUAAUGCCUUCGUGGCGUUACCAUCGUGUUAUAAAAAUAUAAAAGGUGUACAAUAGCAUAGAAACCAUUAUAUGGGCUUUGGAUUAAACCCAACUUGAGUCCUAGGCGCGUAUUUUUGAAUAACUCAAUUUUGUCAUAGUUUAAUAGGUAUAUUAACUAGUCAUAUGCAGUGCAAUUAUCUUAUAAGUGAUUUGAAUUUUAUAAUACAAAAUUAUAUUACUUAAAACAUUUGUAUAUACAUUAAUCCGGGUCUAUAUGUGCACUUAAAAUGUCAAAUUGUACACGUGAGCUACAACCGUCAGAAAUAAUUGCCAUAAGUACCUUGACAUUUAGGUCCUUUCAUCGAAUGAAUUGACCGUAGUUGAACUCUCUCUAGGUUGCUCCGAACUAUUUGAUAACAAGUAUGAACAAUUAUUCGUCGUAAACGGACCGUGUUUUGGUUAAAAUAUUCAUUAGAUAUAAUUUAUAAUCAAUGACGAGAAAACGUUCAGUGAUUUACAAUGAAUGUUUAGCGCGUCGUAUUUAAAAUGUCGAUUUGAAAUUAAAAAUAAAUCUUAAAACGCAUGAAAUAUGACAUAUUACAUAUGACAAUAUUGGGUCAGAGCCGUAUAUGAAAUUUGAAUUUUAAUUGUGGUAACCGACUAAUUUUAAACAACUAUUCAGAAACUCAAAAGCAGAUGAAUAAUUAUACGUAAUUAUACGUAGUUAAAAAGUUGAGAACUUGUGCAAUAACGUACAAUUACGGUCAAUUAAAAGGCCGAAUCGGGCCAUUUUGAUUUAAAGGAUAAUACGAUUAAAAUCAUUAAAUAAUAACACCUACGCCGUUAUAUUAUAAAAUAUCAAAUAAAUAUCGCAGUUUUACAUUCAACUUUCACGUCCGUGUUAAAUGGAUAAAAUAUUAUAGUGAGCAUCGUAAUAUUUUAUAUUAUUAUAUCAUGUAUCACAAAAGUACGUUUUAUGCGUGACGCAGUUCGCCCCGGGUAAAUGAACAAAGUUUGCUCGGGAUAUUUAAGUUAUUAUCCGUAUGUGUUGCCGAAAGGUAAACAAAAAGGUUAUAACAUUUGAAAUCAGUAAGCUAUAGACAAUCAGUUUAUUAUCAUUUCGUUAUUUAUUUGAUAACUUUUUUUUUCAUUACUUAUGACGCACCAAACGUUUAUCCGAGUUCGGCCGAUAGAAAAUAUAAUUUCAAGGGAUUCCCGGAUGGGCGCGUUUUCCGUUAUAUUUACGAGCACGUCAUAUUGUAUUAAACUUUUACAUUCCGAAGAAAAAUUCUCGCACAAACUGAGUAGACAGAUCACGCUGUUUUAUUGCGCAGGUUCCUUAAAAAUUCGUCUUUAUUUCCACGAAAAAUCUACGAACCAUCGCGCGCCGAUUAAAAUGCAUGAAAAAUAUACAUUCGCCUUUUGAAUAAAUCGUUUCGGAAAUCAUUUUCAAGCGAAAUUUGCAUUCAUCAUUAUUAUGUUUUUCUUAUUAAAUGAUAUUGUUCAUUUUCGCGCACGAGGUUGUAAAUAAAGAAAAAAAGAAUAACAAAUUACGACAGAAAUUUAAAUUCGAUAAUAUACGAUAAUAUCGUAAUAGUUUACAUGCCAUGAUACGCUAAUCCAGUGGUCCUUAACCUUUUCGUUUCAGCGCCCCUUCACCGAGAUAACUGACUGCUAACGACCCCUCGCGCAAAAUUAUAGGCAUGUUAUCGCCUUAAUGGUCUUUUGCAUUUGCUUUUUUUUUCACUCAUCUGUCUUAUUUAUACGAGUUAUUAUUAUGUUUUAGUAUAGGAAUCUUGGCUUAUACCGGUCCUGUGCAUAAAGAUUUUGAUUUCACGCGCGAUAAUACGUGUUACUGGUUGCUGGUGCUUUUUUCAUUUUUCCAUCAUUCCGCGUUUAAAGGCUCAACCCCCCCCCCCCGCCAACGUCUCUUUAAAACCUACCGCCCCCUCGAGGGACCAAAAUAACUGUUAGGGUGCGGUACUGCCUACGUUAAGAACCACUGCACUAAUCUAUCAUCGGGGUUUUUUUUUUCGUUAAUAAUUUUACACGACGACGAAAUUUAAUUAAGACACACAACUUUCGGGACACGAAAAUAUUGCGCGGCGUUCAUAAUAACAUAAACUAAUACGGUACGUUAUUAAAAUCGUCGUAACUUAGGUAAAUCGCUGUUUUUACGCACGACGCAAUAUUUAUUAAUAAUACUCGUACGAAUUUUCUUAAUUAAAAAUAUUGUUUCUCGCGUUAAAAGCUACACCAGUCACACGGCCCGCACAAUUACGGUCUCGGUCUCGGCUACGUUAGUUUUCGGCUUUUGUUUUGGUUGUUUUAUUUUCAUAAAACAUAAUAACCUGUACAUUUUAGAUUCCGAGCGUAGCGAGGGAGCUAUUCGUUUUACAAUGCUGUUUAUUUCUUUUUUUUUGUUCUAGUCUGUGGACACUUUUUUUUUUACUAAACUUGCUCUGAUUUUUACCUGUAACAAAUUUUCUGAUAGCUCAAGCUGUCUAGAUUAAACUUUAUAGAGGUCAUUUUUUAAAUAAAAGCACUUAAGUGGGAAAAUACGUAAGAAAACGUACAAUUUCACUAUUUCAUUGUUUUAUAAAAACACGAACGUUUUCUACUAGAAAAAAUGAUGGUAAACUUGGUAAUAAUACUUAUAUAAGACUUAUCUAGACGUGGUAAAAUUUCGAAAAUCAUCGGACGACUUUUUUUUUUUUUAAUAAGCGUUUAGAAAUCAAAUUAAAAUGAUAAUCGAAAAAAAAAAUUACGGCAAUUCAAAUUAUGUACUACCGGACUGCGCUUGGAAUCGUCUUUUGUCAAGUGAUAGUUUAUUGUCGCUUACAGAUAUAAAUGAAAUAACCUUAGGUAUCCUACCUUCCCAACUUCUCACGUACAACAAUGGCCGCUCCCAUCCCCAGAAUCAGUUAUUUUUAUCGCAUGGGGAUAUUUUAAUGAGAGAAAGGCAGUGCAACAAACUACAUUCGAAAAUAUUCUACCCCUUAUUUGAACACGCGUGUGCCGGCACCGUGUAGCAUAAGCUCGACCUGUUAUUAGACUUAAAGGAACGAACAUUAUUUGUAAAGUUUGUUUAUUGGUUUUUUAACAUCAAAAUUAAAAUCCUCAUAUCUCGCCGAUAAAUGUGAAAAUAAAAAUCCAAUGUACAAACUUUUUAAGUUCUUAAACACAACAUUAUAUUAUAAUAUUGUUUCCCUUCAUAACUUACAAAGUAAUCAAUUCACUUUAAUGUUAAACUAAUCUGUACAUAAUUGGGUCUUUUGAAAUUUUGCUAUGUUGUUCAAACUCAAGACGGAGACGACAGUUGUAUGCUUGUUUUGUCUCAAGUGUUUUAGUCAGUUCAACUACAUUCUUUGUUUGUCAAACACGUUCUCACUAAUUAACCUUUAUUUACUCAUAUCACUGUAGCGAAGCAAUGCAAUCACUAAAUGCCGAUUCAAAUUAAGGAUUAAGUACACAUGGGAUCGACCAGUCCGCUUUUUUCCACUUAGUUUUCGGUAUUUACAUUUUAUAGUCAAUUUGUUGACGAUUAAACACUCAACUUCGAGAAAGAGACUGGGCCGAACUUCGUGUACACAUCGCGUUCAGUUCAAAUCCGUUUUUUUAAAUUAUUGUUGUUUUAAUAACAAUAAGCGGACUGAUAGAUAAACAAUCGGUCUAAAUCGGUAUGUGUCUAUCAAUUAAAGAAAAUAUCCGUUUCGAACAAAUUUAAGAAAAACGUAUAGCCCAACUAAAAUAUAUAUAUAUUAUAUUAGCGAAUUUCGCACCAAAUAAAUUCAAACUAUAGAACUAGUAUUGCGUUUUUUUAUUGAACCCCCUCCCAAUGAAACUAGGAGAUACAUUUUUAUAAGGUCAUGCGUUUCGGGAGAUUUAGAUUUCAAAUCGCUAUCAUUUUUACUCUCAAAUUUCACAAUUUUUUUUUCAGAUUAUGAGCUUGUCUAGGAACGUAUUAAUUUUACUGUACUGUGUGUUCUACCGGAAUCUUGAACCAUAAAAUAUGUGAAAAGAGAACUUUUUUAUUGAAUUUCGGAUCUGGUUGGUGCAUUGAGAUUGGGCAUUUAAGAUUUCGAGAGGUUUUAAUUUAAUGUGUAUUUUAGAUUUUCAGCGUACCGAAGGAGCUAUUGGUUUUACAUAGAUGUUUGUUAUUCUUUCUUUCUUUUUUUCUUUCUCUCUUUGUUCUGGUCUAUGGACACGUUUCUUUUUAGUAAACUUGCUUCGAUGUCUAAGUGUAAUAACUUUUCUAGAUUGUACUUUAAAGAGGUCAUUUUUUGAAUUUCGACUCAAUUUUAUCGCCUUUUUUAUUGCCUUUUUGAUUUACUUUCUUACGUUAUCAUCGCCAUAACUGAUCCACAAAACUGAUGCAAAGUUUGAUCCACUUUUGAGUUUUUAAGGAAUUUUAAUUUUUGGGAGUUUUUUAAUGUAAUUCGGUCAUAAAUACACGUAGAGACUUGAAACUUGGUAAUAAUACUUAUAUUGGACUUACCGAAACGUGAUAAAAUUUCCAACAUCAUCGGGCGGCUUUUUUUUUAUAUAAGCGUUUGAAAUCAAAUUUAAACGACAACCGCAAAUAAAAAAAAAAAAAAUACGGCAUUAUAAAACGUGUCUAACCGAACUUUACCCCAAAUCAUAUAUCGUCUUUACUUAUAUAUAUGCAGAUAUACAUUUCAUUUCUUUACGAGCACCACGUCCCCAACUUCCCACCUACAACAGUGCUACUGUACCCGUUAGCAGCGUUGGAUUUUUUUUUUUAUUUUAACGAACAAAAUAUUAUUAGCAAAACACAUAAACGACUGUUUACAUAACGUUAUAUGCGUAUUAUUCAUAAAUCAUUUCGAUAUCCCGAACGGUUUGGCAAGCCACAACGACGACGGUAGUCCAUUAUUCAUAACGAGUUUAUGCGCGAAUCGCACUUCACGUAGUCGGUUCGAAUAAAGUAUAUUGCAAGUAAUAUUAUAAUAAUAUCAUAAUAAUAUAGACAAACUCGACGAAAAAAAAAUAUUAAAAAAAAAAAAAAAAUCGUCAGUAGUGCUUAAAAAUAAGUUUAUAUUCGUUCGGAAUAGCUGCGACGCCCGACGCGUCCGGAACGGUUGCCAAGCGAGUACCUAUAAACAUUUUUCAAUUAAUAAAUAUGAAAAAAAAACAAUUUAAUUUUUUUUUUCGGCAAGGACGUAAAACAGCUGAUCUUGAUGUGUAAUUAGACGGCGGUAGCGUAAUAAAAUUCGCGACCGAGCGUCACGUAGAGUUGUAUUUUGAUCAAAAAACCAAUUGGGUCAGUGGGAGUGGGAUUGAGUUGUGUUUUUUUGCUUAUUUCCCAUUAUGAAUAUUAAAUCCUACUGAAAUUUUUCGGUAACGCGUUAAAACCCGGAAUCGUAUCCGUAACGGUACAAUUGUUUGAUUUUAAACGGAAUUAUGGUCGUCCGCGCAGCUGUAUGCCACUGAUAAACACUGUGGUGACGAUGAAAUUCAAAAAUUUCACUUUCCACUAGUCCAUAAUAUUAUUAUUACUAUGUACGAUUUAGGUUUCGAUAUUUUUGAAAAACCCAGACUCCAGGUUUCUAUAGGUAUCCGAUUGUGCUGCGUUAUCCGCCGGCACACAGCCAUGAGAACCCUUAGAAGGAAGGGGGCAAAACGGGGCAUUUGCUCCUCCCCUGGACUUCAAAAUUUUAAACAUUAUUUUAUUCCGAGCACUUUUCGGUGUUUGAUUUCAUUAUGCGACAGCCCCCCUGGAAUUUUGUUUGCCCUCCACCUGUGAAAUGUGGGUAAAUUAAUAAAAUUCGACCGAUCUCAGUAAGAGGGUAGAUAAACAGGACCUGUAAUAAAUUUAUUAUUUCGUGCGUUGUACGAAAACAAAAUAAAAGGACGGCGUCAUUAUCGGUUUCGCUCGUGAAAUUCGACAAACGAUUUUAACCCGAAUUCGAUCGAUACCUCAAAAACCCGGUAUGGGUAAUGCAAUAAUACACGUGAUAAUUAGUUUCGUUGUCGAUUUUUUUCGAUCACUCUUACUAGAGAAGACACUUCACUUUCGGUAAUAUCUACGGAAAUAUAUUUUCGAAUAGAUUAUCUGAAAAAAAAACCCCUAGCGAUUUGCAAAACCAACGGGUCCGCUCUCUCGGAAUCUAAAACCGACACGAAUUGAAAAUCCAUUACCGUGAAAAAUUAUUCAAAUAUCGGGGUAGAAAUGAAAAAUUGAAAUAAAAACGAAAAACCGUUUAGCGACAAUAAUCGCGAUACGGCACUCCGGGUGCAGACCGCGCCUUAUAUAUUUUUUUAACGGAUUUAUAAUAGAUUAUAAUUGUCUAAUAGUGGUGCUCACGUUUUUUAAAUACCGUUUAAGUACAGUUGCUGUUGCAUAGGCGGGAGAAGUUCGAGACGUCCGGGCCCAAUUCAGGUUGCGAACGAUAAAAUACAAUAAUUGCGAUCAAAAAAAAAAAAAAAAAAAAACCCCGUUCUGAGCGCAGUUCGGUAAAUUAUAGUAUGAGGUUGACCGGCGUCUUUGCAAGCGCGGUGCGAAACAUUCUGAGUAUUUUCAUUAACCGGAAAAAUGUAACGGCUCGCGCGUGUCACAAAUAUAGGGAAAUCUAAACAAUCGCGCGGGUUCAUCAUCUCCGAACGGCCGAUGUUUUACCCGUAUAAUGUCACAAUCGCUACCGUUAUUGUUACUGUCAAUGUUCUUUUACGGCGGAACUCGUAGAGAUGAUAACGUUUUGUUUUUCCGUUUCAUAGAUCCGGCCAAUCAAACCUCCGAUCGGUUGACGGACUACACGCCCACCGAACGCGACCGUCGGUCCCGCUCACUCCGCGACGUUCGUAACGCUCGCCGCCGCCGCCCAUGCGCAACACGCGGUCGACGCGACAAAGCCCCACUCGCAGUGCCAUCGGCGACAGAGCGUUGGCCAGCGGCGG